UCCUUAUUUCUGGUCCAAGAUGCCAAAUAAUUUUUAAAGAAAUUUAUAAUUCGGUAAAAGUAUUUACACAUUGUUUAUCUCUGUUCUACGUAAUCAGAUUCUCAAAGGUGUGUUACCAUCAAAGGUGAAGAUUAAAUGUUUUGCUCUUGUGUCUGAACAAUCUGUAGUUGGCAGCAAGUUCUUUCUUAACAGUGUUCAGUAAACUUGCCCGUGUUGUAUAUACAAUAUAUACAGUUCCAUUAAACUUGCUUCUAUGAUAUUUUUUGUUGUAAAAAUACAUUUGCGGCAUCAUUUGUAAAUCCCAUACUUACCAUACUAAAUCAGAACUGGUAGUUUAUCGCAUGUCGCUGGAUAACAUGGGUUCUUAUUUGAGAGUUCUAUGUUGUUUAAUGCAUAUAUGUUUCUUCAAAAAGGUCAGUGGGGAUAUAGAGGACUCCCAAGAUGGACAACGUGUUGGCAUCGACUUUGCCGAACUCGCCAGGACAGAUGACGACCUGGUGACCUACGCCGUCGAGGGCACCAUCUAUCUCCGGAGCCCCGUUGAUCUCAUGACCCUCGCCGCCGCCACCACAGGUGAGCAAACAUACACGCCGUAUCCUUCCCUGCUUAUGUCUGUAUACAUAUGAGGUUGAUUAUUUGUUACGUGUUCCAAAGUGAGAUUGCUAAAUGGCGGCUGCUCUUACAGGAGCGGUGCCACCCUUCAAGCAGAGCUAGAAAGAGUGAUACUAUUCUUUGGUCAGGUUAUGUUUGCUAAUUGCUAUGGAUUAUUAUUUUGAGAAAAACAAUUAUGGAACUCAAUGUCUGUUAUGUCCUUUUCUGAAUUUGCAGCCGCUAAGUUUCCGAAGCUUGAUCGACAUCUUUUUAAGCAAUAGUGGUAAUCACGAGUGGCCCGAUACCGAUAUCCACCUUGCAUCCUGCUAAAUUGAGCAGUUUGAUAGAGUGUUGGGUAGUAGUUUUGCUCAAUUCAGGAUAUUGUGUGAAAUAAUCACGUGUUGGGUAGUAGUUUUGCUCAAUUCAGGAUAUUGUGUGAAAUAAUCCUAUUGGAUUUCUUCCAAUUUUUUGUUGUGGAUUGAAAAAAAAAGUAGCCAUGGUUUACAAGUCCCCUCUAAAACAAGUAAACCUGAUAUUGUCAAAAUUUCAAACCAACUAAGGAAGCAGAGAGCAAUGAUUGCAUAACAAUCAGGGCCUGCCUCAAUCGUUUGACAUAUGAUAUGACAUAAACGUUGUUUACAAGUCCAAGAACGCUUUACAAAAACCAGUUACCCAAACCUACCAUGAGCUUGAUAACUAAUACUAGGAUUCUUAUGCAUGUCUACUGUUGUUUAGGAAGCUCAGGACAUGAUGGUUCCGUUUGUGACGAAAAAGAAAAAUAGUACCAACGUGUUAACCUAAUGCUUAGCUCAUUAACUGCAGAUAAAAAUUUGUUUAUCCCUGUUUGCGCAAUAUGGAAGUACACAUGGUAAUGGGUAUGUGACCUUCUGGGCAUAUGUAAAUUUUCUACGUUCUGAAUUUUGUCGCCCUUAUGUUCUUGUAGGUUAUGCUUUAUUCAGGCAUAUAACUUUCUUGUACUUCCAUUGCUCUACAUCUUUCUUUUUCGUCACAUAUUUUAUACUUUGUAGUAUCUGUGUCUAUCUCCAAAGUUGCAGAGGAGUGCUACAUUAUUUCAUUAGUUCAUUUUAGAGCAUGUCAAAUGUAGCAGCUUAUUUAGUGGUAAGAUCUUCUCUCCAAAGUCUGCUGCUGGUCACGCUCUUUCGACAGUCGGUACAUAUUUUCUCUUGGGUAAUUUGGUUCACCUAAGCAUUAGUACCACUUACUAUCAUGUAUUGUGAUUCACCUGUAAUGUUAGUCUUUUCUGCAUGGCCCCUUGAGCUCAUAUCUUCUAUUGCCAUCUGCAAACUAUCAUUUUUGGUCAGCUGAUAUCACUCUAUCCAUUCUAUCAUUUUUUCUUGCUCACUAAAUGAUAGUCUGACCUUGACCUGUUUGUGUCAUCAGAGAACAUAAUUUUUUUUCACUUUUCUCUUGUGUUUGUAAAAUAUAUUAUUUUUGUUGUAUAUUAUAGAAGAAUAGCGUUUAUGUAUAUAUUAUACCUCUGUAUAUCUUUCCAAAUUCCAUCUUUUGACAUUACCAUAUUUUAAAAGAAGGGUUGUUUUGUGAGUCAUUUGUUUACUUAUGUUGUGUUUUCACUGACCAUGAGUGGAUUAUUAUAUAACUUUGUUGGCCAAAAGUAUUCUUGCGGUUUGUGUCUAGGUUGGGCACCAAGUAUAAGCUGAUAACAUUUUCCAAGCACUUCCAUUUUGAAGGGCCAACAAGAAGGGAUUUCUUCCCGCAGCAUAAAAAAGAACCCGGUGGGUGGAUGCAAGACCAGAGUGCCUUUUUGACUAAAUCCAAAAAUAUUGUAUUGAUGAGAAACCCAAAGAUAUUAUAUUGAUCAAGAGCGGCAUGAGCAUACAUUUUUCACUAAGAGGCAUGCUUAGAAGGUUCAGCAUGCCUUCUUUACUGGUAAAGAGAAUAUAAGAGAUAUCUGAAUUUUAGUUGAGUUAAUGAGUGUGAAUAUAAAUAAAUCCAAACACGAAGCAAGAUAUUUGUUGUUUCAUUGAUUAAGCAGAAGAUUGUCCAAUUAAUCAGGAAAAUUUAGGCGAAAACCAAAACAACAGGGCCACGCCCACUCUUGACAGCAUGCCGAAUGCCAUGACAAAUGCCAACCACACAAACACAACACACACUAGCUAGGGAACUCGCUCCGCUAAAUAAGCCGGUCUUCCAUCACCGCCAAAGCCAUGAUGCACUCUCCUGUGACGAUGAAAGGACAAGCCUUUCACAUGCCUGUAAUAGUUGCAACCCACAUGACACGAGAUCCAUAGCGUCGAAAUUGCAAAACUCUCAGGGCUACUUCCCUGAUGUCCACUGCUUCAACACGCCUUGUGCGCUCAGCCGGUACCGCUUCUCGGGUCGUUGCCCCGACAUACCACUGCAGAGACGUGCGUUGCACGUGCACGCUUACUAGUGUCAUGGUAAAGGUUCUCGCCGCUUUCUGCCUGCCCGUCCGUCUGAAAGAAAAGAUGUGGCCAAAAGGUGGCGUGCACUAGCCAAUUCACAGGUCUCCGGUUUCACAUUCCUUUCUUUCUUCUCCUUGAGUCUUCUGGUUUCUCCUCUCCUUUUGUUUUGUUUCUGUCUACGUUCCGGUCGAUUGCCUUCGGUCGUAAUUGAUGUGCACAGAUCGAGAUGCCACACUUUUUUUUGAGAAACCAGAUGGGAUUACGAUGGCGAUUUCCAGUCCAGAGCAAAGCCUAUGAGACGUGGCAUUUUUUUCAGAAUUUGCAAAGCAUUUUUUUAGGGAUGAGAAUUUGCAAUGCAUAGCAAUCAUUCGUACGGCUCAAGCAGAAACACACAAAUUUUCGACGAAUAUUAGAAAAAAAGGUUCAAAACUUCGUCAGCCACUGAAUUGGGUCGAUUUGCCUUCAAUAUAUCAAAUAAGAAAAAUCUGAAAUAUCUUCUUUGUGAUGAUAAUGCCAAAAAAAUCUCAAGUUGGUGUGUCUUUCUUUCUUCCUUUCCCUUAUGUUGGUCAUUAGAGGCUUCUUGACUUUUCUCUUCCCUAUUUUGCUACACCAAUAACAGGAUGUACUUACUGUAUGCUGUGCAGCCCGGCAGCCAGAUAUUUGCUACAGCUACAGACAGCCCAUUAGCUGUCCAUUUUAUAUUGGUAUUUUUUUCCUUUUUUCCACAAAAAAAUCUGUAUAAUUUACCGGAUUUUCUUCAGAUAUUUCCCUUUUCCGCCUUUCUUUUUAGUAGUUUUUUCUUUUAAAUUUCCUUUUUAUUUUCUUCCAAGAAAAAUAAGAAAUUCAAAAAAUGUCCUCGCUUUUAAAAAACACCAAUUCAAACAAAAAUCAUGAUUAAAAUACAGGAAUUUCAAAAAAUGCUUGCGCUUUUCAGAAAAUGUUCCCUUUUUAAAAAAAUCAUAAAUUCAAUAAAAGUACAGGAAUUCAAAAAAUGUUCAUGUUUAGUAAAGUUAAAAAAUUCAUGUUUUCAAAAGAUGUCUGGGAUUUUUUUUAAAACAUCAUGUUUUUAAAACUUUCAGAAUCUUUAAAUAAUUUUUAAAUGUGUUUCUUUAAAUAUGGUCAGAGUUAAAAAAUCAUUUGUUUCAAAAAAAGUUUGAUUUUUCCCAAAAACAUUUUCAAAAAAAAUUCAAAAUUCGGCGAUACAGUAUGGUCUGCCACAAGAACUGCUUCACUACAUUACCCCGCGGGAAAAAUCGGACUCAACAUGGAUGGACCGGUUCAUUGCAGUAUGUGUGUGCGAGUACAUGCACCACAGAAAAGCUGGCUUGCUGCAGUAGUCGCGAGUGGACCGGCCCCGUUGGGGGUGCCCUCUAUGCGAAUCCCCAGCUAUAUGACGCAUGGAGCGUCAUAUAGGGUGUCCUAUUUGAUCUUUCGCCAAAGGAAGAAGAGCCCCCCUCCCCCGACUGGGCUUUCCGGGUGCAUCUGUCGGCGUAGCAAAAAUGGUAUUAAUCCUCAUUACUUUAUUAAUCGUGUUUGUUUAAAUUUACUGUUUGCUGGCGGGCGUGGACAUGCGGACACCGUCUGCUAGCAUUCCUGCCCGGGUGCAUCGCUCACAUGGGCCUUCUCCACAGCCCGGGAAGGAAGCUCCUAGUGAACUGGCCACAUUGGCGAUUAGCAUUCCAUGUUCAGGAAAACUUGUGUGUGUUCUCACACGGUAUAAUCGCAUGAUGCUCAUACAUAUAUACCCUCACUCAUAUGAACAUACUAACGCACCUUAUUCCUAUGAACGCCUUUGAGAUAUCGAGUCGACUCAAAACAUCUUGAGAUUUGAUGAAGUCACUAUGGACACCUCGUAUAUAUGUACAUACAAUACCCCAUACGUUACGGGAAUUUGUAGCAAUAAAGUUUGCUAACAUAAAAUUAAAGUAUAUAAGAAUAGAACCCCCACCAUAUUCUCAUCAUAUGAACGGUAGAAAAUCUAGCUGUGGGUGUAUGGUGGAUGCACAAUAUAGUGCCUUGUGACCUUCUGCUUCAGUUAUUUGUUGUCGAAAAAUAAGAAGUACAAAAUGGAUGAUGUGAAAGGCUUGCAUGUGGUCGACGAUGUGAAGGGCAUGCAUGCGAUGGAAAGUUAAAAAAAAGUUGAGGGCUUGCAUUCACUUGAUGAUGUUGAGGAUUUGCUUGCGGUGGAAAGUGGAGGAGUUACACGUGUUGAUGAUACGCAGGGCAUGCAUGUGCUAGAAAAAUAUUAAUUAUUAUUUCAAAAGAUGUUAAUGGUUUAUUAGAUAUAGUCAUUAUAUUUAAAAUAAAACAUGUAUUAAAAUGUUCAUCAAAUAUUAAAAAUAAUAAUAAUGUAUUUAAGAAUUUUAUCACGUAUAUCAAAAUUAUUAUGAUAUAUUUCAUGUUCAUCAUGUAUUUUAAAAAAUUAAUGAAACUCAAAAAAGUAUCCACCCAUUUUAAGGAAAUGUUAUGCAAUAAAAAAUUUGUUUGCACAUUAUGGAAAAGUUUCAUAAAAAAUGUUUGCAUAUUCUUACAAAGAUUUUUGUAUAACUUCUGAAAGUGGUCAGCCAUUUUUAGAAAGCAUUUGUGCAUUUUUUAAAAGUGUUCACACAUUUUUGAAAUAAAUCAUGUAUUUUCAAAAGUGUUUGCACUUUUUUGAAAAGAAUAAAGAAGAAAAUAAAAAAGCAAACAGGGAGAAGGAAAUAUAAAAAGGAAUAUAUAUAUAUAUAUAAUAAAAUAUAUUAAUUUAAUUAAAAUGAUAAAAAUGAGCAAAUGAAAAAGGUAACAAACGAGAACAAACGAGAAGAAGAAAAAAUAAAAAUGAUAAACAAAUGACCCCGGCCCCGCCCUAGAAGCGGGCGACCCGUAUAGAAAAAUUUAGUGUAUUUGCCCGACACAAUUCAGGGCGCCGUGUAGGAGAGUGGACACUGCAUCUCACAAUAUGCGAGACAUAGCAUCUGUAUAGCUUCCUGGCGCGCAGGAGGUCGCAGUUGCAAAAGAGCCUACAGAAAAGAGCCUCGGUGGUUUCUUUAUUGAUUCUUUUAUUUGGAUUUCUUACUUCGAUUUUUCCAUCGAUUCCUUGUGUAUGUGUAUUGUAGCACCACACACUACAUGUGCACUUCGUCUUGUGCUCCACAGGGAAGCAUAAGUGAAGCACAUGCAUAUUAUCACGGGAGUACAACGUAGUUGCUAAUUUGUGCUUCAGAAAAUCUUUGCCGGAACUCAAAAAACUCCCCGCAAAAAAAGAUAUGUUUAAAAAAACUGACAAUAGAAGAGCAAAAUCUUGAUCACAACACAUAAGCAAAGUUGGAUGUAAUGUAACACCCUAUUUAAUGAGAAAAGAUAGACUUAUCAUAUCUUAAUCUGGAUAUAGCUCUUAGCAUAAAAACCAAGCCAAGCCAUACUUUUCCUCACACAAAACAUGUUAAAUAAGAACUCUUUUAGAUACGACAACAAGAUAUAGAAGUAAUGCAUUGGUGCUGAAUAUUAAUUGAACUAUAGGCCCAUUUAACAAUUUCAAAAAGUCCCUAAGGGCUAUGCUGUCAAGGGAAUGGUGAAAAGUUUAGUCCCACAUGGCUAGUUGAGAGAGGUGUACACCAACUUAUUAGGUGAGCUCUUCUCCCACCAGUAUGAAUUGGUGCGAAGGAAGGAGAGGUGUUCCACACGCAUGCUCCUCCUCCGCCGCCCGCCUCGCCACGACGCGGGUUGCGGGAAUGAGCCGAGCCGAUUAUUGUGGAGAUGGAAUCAAACGUAAUUAAACGCGUACACGGCUGACGGGAGAGCAGGCCUCCGAAACCCCCCGGGAGAGAGGCGAUUAGGUUUUUGGGGAGCGUCUCCUAUGCGACUGCUCGCCUCUGUUCAACUACUUCCUCUACAUCGACUACUUCCACGUCACCUUCGUUUUCACCAUGAGCACUGACGCCGACCGCGUGGCUGACGAGAAGGCCGCUGCUGAUAAGAGGAUUGCCGACAAGGCCACCGCCUUCGCUGAUGCUACGGCCUACUGGAGGGUAUAACACAUUUACCCCGCUACUGUUUAUUUUCAUGUGUGCAGUACUAGUGGUUUGCAUAGAUGUUUCUACUAUUUGCCUAGUACGUGCGUAUAUCAUCAAAAUUCAGUAUGUCAUUAGCACUGCCUAUGUCAUGUUCAUGAUUUAUUAUUGGAUUAAAUUAAUUGAAAAAUUGCUUAAUUUCUCAACAAUCCAAAACCUAAUCCGUGUAGGCAAUUUUCGAUCCAAGGUUUUGUUGCUGCACUGAAACCAGCCCCAUUUACGAGGACGUACUUAAAGCAUUGGCAGACCAAAACCGUCUUAUGGCUCACGACGGUGAACGUGUUCUGGAUCGCCGGUGUUACUCCCACGGGAACGAUCGCUCCUAAACAGGAGAAGGCGUUCAGGGAGGCCACCAUCGUCUUUGUUGGAUGCGUUCUGAGUGUGAUCGGAGAUAAGCUGGUUGAUGCAUACUUACAUAUGCGGGUUGCCAAGGACUUGUGGGAGGCGCUCAAAUCUAAAUUUCGGCGCAACGGAUGCUGGGAGCGAGACAUAUAUUAUGGAGCAGUUCCACGAUUACAGAAUGGUCGUAAACCGUUCUAUAUUAGAACAGGCUCAUGAGAUACAGCGCAUUGCUAAGGAGCUUGAGCUUCUCAAGUGUGUGAUGCCGGGCAAAUUUGUUGCGGGUUGCAUUAUCACUAAGUUACCCAAUUCCUGGAGGAACUUUGCCACUACUCUAAAAUAUCAGAGGCGUGAAUUCUCACUUAGGAUGUCAUUGGCCAUAUGAGUGUUGAGCAGAAUUCGAGGGCAAAGGACUCGCACGAAAAAGGGACCGAAGGGACCUUUGUCGCCAAUGUGGUGCAGAAGAACUUCAACUCCCACAAGCCUAAGGGGAAGACUGGUGUCCAACAGAAUACCGAGUUUAAGAAGAAGGGCAAGAAGACCUUCAAGAAAGAUAAUAAGAAGGGUGGUUGUUUCACUUGUGGUUCAGAUGAACAUUGGGCUGCCAAGUGCCCACACAAGUUCAAGAAGCCAGGACAGGACGCCAAGACUGUCAACAUGAUUUGUGAGCAACAAUGAGAGUGGGCCAUCCGGGUACGGUAAUUUGUUUACUGUAUUUUCAGUUUGUCAAUCUACCGAUUGGUUGAUUGACACAGGUGCAAAUAUUCAUGUCUGUGCUGACAUUUCACUGUUUUCUUCUUAUCACGCCACAGGGAACGGGUCCAUACUGAUGGGGAACAGCGCGAGUGCUUCUAUUCAUGGUGUUGGCAUGGUCGAUCUGAAUUUUACUUCGGGAAGGAUCGUGCAACUAAAGAACGUGCAGCAUGUCCCUGCCAUCAAGAAGAAUCUCGUUAGUGGUUCCCUUCUAUGUAGAGAAGGGUUUAAGUUGGUAUUCGAGUCUAAUAAAGUAGUUGUUACAAAAUAUGGACUAUUUGUUGGAAAAGGUUAUGAAUGCGGAGGUCUAUUCCGCUUUUCCCUUGCUGCUUUUUGUAAUAAAGUCGUGAACAAUAUUCAUUCGAGUGUUAAUGAAAUAGAAGUUUGGCAUUCAUGUCUCUAUCACAUUGGUUUUGGUAGUAUGACGCGGUUAGCAAAAUUAAAUUUAAUCCCAAGUUUCACUUUAGCCAAAGGUUCUAAGUGCCAUUCGUGUGUGCAAGCAAAGCAACCUCGCAAGCCCCAUAAGGCUGCGGAGGAGAGACAUUUGGCGCCGUUAGAACUCAUACAUUCUGAUCUUUGUGAGAUGAACGGUGUAUUGACUAAAGGUGGAAAAAGAUACUUCAUGAAGCUGAUAGAUGAUUCUACUAGAUAUUGCUAUGUAUAUCUUUUAAACACUAAAUAUGAGGCUCUACACUAUGUUAAAAUCUAUAAGGCAGAAGUUGAGAAUCAACUUGAAAAGAAAAUAAAACGAGUCUGGCCAGAUCGUGGUGGAGAGUAUUUCUCUAAUGAGUUUGAUUAUUUCUGUGCGGAACACGGAAUUAUUCAUGAGAGGAUGCCUCCCUAUUCACCUCAAUCAAAUGGGGCUGUCGAACGAAAAAACUGUACUCUAAUAGAUUUGGUUAAUGCCAUGUUAGAUACAUCGGGUUUCUCCAAGGCAUGAUGGGGGAGGCUAUAUUGGCAUCAUGUCAUGUCCUAAAUAAAGUUCUGAUAAAAGAUAAUGAGAUCACUCCCUAUGAACAAUGGGAAAAGAGAAGAAUGACACUCUCAUACUUACGUACUUGGGGCUACUUGGCGAAAGUCAAUGUGUCAAUCCCCAAAAAGCGUAAGCUUGGACCAAAGACCGUGGAUUGCGUUAAUUUGGGCUAUGCUAAGAAUAGCGUCGGCUAUAGAUUUCUGGUAGUGAAAUCUGAGGUACCUGACGUGAAGGUUGGUACGAUUAUGGAGUCUAAAGAUGCUACAUUCUUUGAGGAUAUUUUCCUAUGAGAGAUAUGCAAAGCACUAUUGGGGAACGUAGUAAUAAUUCAAAAAAUUCCUACGUGUCACCAAGAUCAAUCUAGGAGAUGCUAGCAACGAGAGAGAGGGAGUGCAUCUUCAUACCCUUGAAGAUCGCUAAGCGCAAGCGUUACAAGGAAUGCGGAUGAUGGAGUCGUACUCGCGGCGAUUCAAAUCACGGAAGAUCCGAUCUAGCGCCAAACGGAUGGCGCCUCCGUGUUCAACACACGUACAACACGGGGACGUCUCCUCCUUCUUGAUCCAGCAAGGGGAGAUGAGAAGUUGAGGGAGAGCUCCGGCAGCACGACGGCGUGGUGGUGGAGCUUGCAGUUCUCCGGCACGGCUUCGCCAAGCACUACGGAGGAGGAGGAGGUGUUGGAGAGGGGGAAGGGGUGCUGCUGCCCUCCCCCCUCUAUUUAUAGGGUGAAGGGAGAGGGGGCCGCCCCGCUAGAUGCAUCUAGAGGGGAAGCGCGGCGAAGGGGGGAACUUGCCUCCCAAGUUAGGUGGGAGGCGCCCCACCCCCUAUGGUUUUCAACCCUAGGCGCCUUGGGCCCUUGGGGGGCAUACCAGCCCACCAGGGGCUGGUUCCCUCCGUUGUUCAGCCCACUUGGCCGAUCGGGGCAGGUGGCCCCACCCGGUGGACCCUCGGACACCUUUCGGUAGUCUCGGUACAAUACCGAUAACACCCGAAAUUAUUCUGGUAACUGAAACUUGACUUCCCAUAUAUAAUUCUUCACCUCUAGACCAUUUCGGAACUCCUCGUGACGUCCGGGAUCUCAUCCAGGACUCCGAACAACCUUUGGUAACCACAUACUAUUUCCCAUAACAACUCUAGCGUCACCGAACCUUAAGUGUGUAGACCCUACGGGUUCGGGAACCAUGUAGACAUGGCCGAGGCAUCUCUCUGGCCAAUAACCAACAGCGGGAUCUGGAUACCCAUGUUGGCUCCCAUAUGUUCCACGAUGAUCUCAUCGGAUGAACCACGAUGUCGGGGAUUCAAUCAAUCCCGUAUGCAAUUCCCUUUGUCCAUCGGUAUGUUACUUGCCCGAGAUUUGAUCGUCGGUAUCCCCAUACCUCGUUCAAUCUCGUUAUCGGCAAGUCUCUUUACUCGUUCCGUAACGCAUGAUCCCAUGACCAACCCCUUAGUCACAUUGAGCUCAUUAUGAUGAUGCAUUGCCGAGUGGGCCCAGAGAUACCUCUCCAUCACAUGGAGUGACAAAUCCCAGUCUCGAUUCGUGCCAACCCAACAGGCACUUUCGGAGAUACCUGUAGUGCACCUUCAUAGCCACCCAGUUAUGUUGUGAUGUUUGGUACACCCAAAUCAUUCCUACGGUAUCCGGGAGUUGCACAAUCUCAUGGUCUAAGGAAAUGAUACUUGACAUUAGAAAAGCUUUAACAAACGAACUACACGAUCUUGUGCUACGCUUAGGAUUGGGCUUGUCCAUCACAUCAUUCUCCCAAUGAUGUGAUCCCGUUAUCAACGACAUCCAAUGUCUAUGGUCAGGAAACCACGAACAUCUAUUGAUCAACGAGCUAGUCAACUAGAGGCUUACUAGGGACAUAUUACGAUCUAUGUAUUCACACAUGUAUUACGGUUUCCGGUUAAUACAAUUACAUCAUGAACAAUAGACAAUUAUCAUGAACAAGGAAAUAUAAUAAUAACCAAUUUAGUAUUGCCUCUAGGGCAUAUUUCCAACAGUCUCCCACUUGCACUAGAGUCAAUAAUCUAGUUAUAUUGUGAUGAAUCGAACACCCAUAGAGUUUUGGUGUUGAUCAUGUUUUCCCCGUGGAAGAGGUUUAGUCAACGGAUCUGAGACAUUCAGAUCCGUAUGCACUUUACAAGUAUCUAUGUCUCCAUCUUGAAUAUAUUCACGAAUGGAUUUGAAGCGACGCUUGAUAUGCCUGGUCUUCUGGUGAAACCUGGGCUCCUUGGCAAGGAAAAUAGCUCCAGUGUUGUCACAGAAGAGAGUCAUUGGGCCCGACGCACUGGGAAUAACUCCUAGGUCGGUGAUGAACUCCUUCAUCCAGACUGCUUCUUGUGCUGCCUUCAAGGCUGCUAUGUACUCAGCUUCACAUGUAGAUCUCGCCACGAUGCUUUGCUUGCAACUGCACCAGCUAACUGCCCCACCAUUCAAAAUGUACAUGUAUCCAGUUUGUGACUUGGAGUCAUCCAGAUCUGUGUCGAAGCUAGCAUCGAUGUAACCCUUUACGAUGAGCUCUUCGUCACCUCCAUAAACGAGAAACACAUCCUUAGUCCUUUUCAGGUACUUUAGGAUAUUCUUGACCGCUAUCCAGUGUUCCAUGCCAGGAUUACUUUGGUACCUUCCUACCAAACUUACGGCAAGGUUCACAUCAAGUUUGGUACACAACAUGGCAUACAUAAUAGAUCCUAUGGCUAAGGCAUAGGGGAUGACACUCAUCUUUUCACUAUCUUCUGCCGAGGUCGGGCAUUGAGCCGUGCUCAAUUUCACACCUUGCAAUACAAGCAAGAACCCCUUCUUGGAUUGAUCCAUAUUGAACUUCUUCAAUAUCUUGUCAAGGUAUGUGCUUUGUGAAAGACCAAUGAGGCGUCUCGAUCUAUCUCUAAAGAUCCUGAUGACUAAUAUGUAAACAACUUCUCCAAGGUCCUUCAAUGAAAAACACUUAUUCAAGUAGGGCUUUAUGCUCUCCAAAAGUUCUAUAUCAUUUCCCAUCAAUAGUAUGUCAUCCACAUAUAAUAUGAGAAAUGUUACAGAGCUCCCACUCCCUUUCUUGUAAACACAGGCUUCUCCAUAAGUCUGCGUAAACCCAAAGCUUUGAUCAUCUCAUCAAAGCAAAUGUUCCUACUCCGAGAUGCUUGCACCAGCCCAUAGAUUGAGCGCUGGAGCUUGCAUACCUUUUCAGCGUUCUUAGGAUCAACAAAACCUUUCGGCUGCAUCAUAUACAAUUCUUCCUUAAGGAAACCAUUAAGGAAUAUCGUUUUGACGUCCAUUUGCCAUAUCUCAUAAUCAUAGAAUGAGGCAAUUGCUAACAUGAUUCGGACGGACUUCAGCUUCGCUACGGGUGAGAAGGUCUCAUUAUAGUCAACCCUUGAACUUGUCGAUAACUCUUAGCGACAACCGAGCCUUAUAGAUGGUCACAUUACCAUCCGCGUCAGUCUUCUUCUUAAAGAUCCAUUUAUUCUCUAUGGCUUGCUGAUCAUCGGGCAAGUCUGUCAAAGUCCAUACUUCCCUUUCAUACAUGGAUCCUAUCUCAGAUUUCAUGGCUUCAAGCCAUUUGUUGGAAUCCGGGCCCGCCAUCGCUUCUUCAUAGUUCGAAGGUUCACCGUUGUCUAACAACAUGAUUUCUAGGACAUGGUUGCCGUACCACUCUGGUGCGGAACGUGUGCUCGUGGACCUUCGAAGUUCAGUAGCAACUUGAUCCAAAGUUUCAUGAUCAUCAUCAUUAACUUCGUCUCUAGUCGGUGCAGGCACCACAGAAGCAUCUUCCUGAGCUACGCUACUCCUCGGUUCAAGAGGCAGUACCUCAUCAAGUUCUACUUUCCUCCCACUUACUUCUUUCGAGAGAAACUCUUUCUCUAGAAAGGAUCCAUUCUUGGCAACAAAGAUCUUGCCUUUGGAUCUGAGGUAGAAGGUAUACUCAAUAGUUUCCUUAGGGUAUCCUAUGAAGAUGCAUUUUUACGACUUGGGUUCGAGCUUUUCAGGUUGAAGUUUCUUGACAUAAGCAUCACAUCCCCAAACUUUCAGAAACGACAACUUAGGUUUCUUUCCAAGCCAUAAUUCAUACGGUGUCGUCUCAACGGAUUUCAACGGAGCCCUAUUUAAAGUGAGUGCGACAGUCUCUAAAGCACAACCCCAAAGUGAUAGCGGUAGAUCAGUAAGAGACAUCAUAGAUCGCACCAUAUCCAAUAGAGUGCGAUUACGACGUUUUGACACACCAUUUCGCUGAGGUGUUCCAGGCGGCGUGAGUUGUGAAACAAUUCCACAUUUCCUUAAGUGUGUGCCAGACUCGUGACUCAAGUAUUCUCCUCCAUGAUCUGAUCGCAAGAACUUUCAUAUCUCUCGACCCGGGCAUGAGCUUGGAAAACCAUUUUCAGCUCUUGGAACAUCUCAUAUGCUCUGUGCUGCUCAAAACGCUUUUGGAGCCCCGGUUCUAAGCUAUAAAGCGUGCUGCACUGAACCAGGGAGUAGUCAUCACUGCGCGACUACCAGGCGUUCAUAACGUCUUGAGUUGCUGGGAAAAUGGGUGUGUCACCUAGCGGUGCUUCAAGGACAUUGCUUUCUUGGCAGCUAUGAGGAUGAUCCUCAAGUUACAGACCCAAUCCGUAUAGUUGCUACCAUCGUCUUUCAGCUUGGUUUUCUCUAGGAACGUGUUGAAGUUGAGGGCAACAUUGGCGUGGGCCAUUUGAUCUACAAGACAUAUUGUAAAGACAUUUUAGACUAAGUUCAUGAUAAUUAAGUUCGUCUAAUCAAAUUAUUUAAUGAACUCCCACUCAGAUAGACAUCCCUCUAGUCAUCUAAGUGAUACACGAUCCGAGUCGACUAGGCCGUGUCCGAUCAUCACGUGAGACGGACUAGUCAUCAAUGGUGAACAUCUCCAUGUUGAUCAUAUCUACUAUACAACUCAUGUUUGACCUUUCGGUCUCUCAUGUUCUGAGGCCAUGUCUGUACAUGCUAGGCUCGUCAGUCAACCUAAGUGUUUUGCAUGUGUAAAUCUGGCUUACACCCAUUGUAUGCGAACAUUAGAAUCUAUCACACCCGAUCAUCACGUGGUGCUUCGAAACAACGAACCUUCGCAAUGGUGCACAGUUAGGAGGAACACUUUUCUUGAAAUUUUAGUGAGGGAUCAUCUUAUUUAUGCUACCGUCGUUCUAAGAAAAUAAGAUGUAAACAUGACAAACAUCACAUACAAAUCAUAAAGUGACAUGAUAUGGCCAAUAUCAUCUUGCGCCUUUGAUCUCCAUCUUCGAGGCGCGACAUGAUCACCAUUGUCACCGGCAUGACACCAUGAUCUCCAUCAUCGUGUCUUCAUGAAGUUGUCUCACCAACUGUUACUUCUAUUACUAUGGCUAACAGUUGGCAAUAAAGUAAAGCAAUUACAUGGCGUUUUCAUUGAAGACACUAUGGUUAAGGGAGAGGGGGCCGACCCCCCUAGAUGCGUCUAGGUGGGCGGAGAAGAGGGGAACUUGCCCCCCAAGUUAGGUGGGAGGCGCCCCCACCCCCUAGGGUUUUCAACCCUAGGCGCCUUGUGCCCUUGGGGGUGAGGGAGUCCUGGACUAAGGGGUCCUCGGACGUUCGGCCUGUUAUCCAUGGGCCGGACUGAUGGGCUGUGAAGACAUGAAGACCAAAGACUGGACCGUGUCCGGAUUGGACUCUACCUGGUGUGGAAGGCAAGCUUGGCAACCGAAGAUUCCUUCUUAUGUAACAGGACUCCAUGUAAAUCCUAGAUCCCCUCGGUGUCUAUAUAAACUGAACGGGAUAGUCCGGAAACAACAACAUAUAUACUCAUUACCAUUAUCAUAGGCUAGACUUCUAGAGUUUAGCCAUUACGAUCUUGUGGUAGAUCAACUCUUGUAACACUCAUAUUCAUCAAGAUCAAUCAAGCAGGAAGUAGGGUAUUACCUCCAUAGAGAGGUCCCGAACCUGGGUAAACAUCGUGUCCCCUAUCUCCUGUUACCAUCUAUCCUAGACGCAUAGUUCGGGACCCCUACCCGAGAUCCGCCGGUUUUGACACCGACAUUGAUGCUUUCAUUGAGAGUUCCACUAUGCCGUCAACAAGAGGCUCGAUGGCCCCUUCAAUCGUCAAUAAUGACGCUGUCCAAAGAGGAACCUUCCUCCCCGGACAGAUCUUCAUAUUCGGCGGCUUCGUACUACGGGCCAACUCACUUUGCCAUCUGGAGCAGAUCGACAGCUAUGCCCCUGGCCAUCAGGUCAGAUUCGGAAGCUUGAACUACGUCGCGGAUAUCCGUGGAGACUUGAUCUUCAAGGGAUUUGAGCCUGCGGUGAUCGCUCCCCUUCAUCCCGAUGAACAUGACGUAAAUCUGUCAUCGGAUCACACCCAGGAGAUGGUUCCUACAUCUGCAAUGACCUUAGAGCCAAAGCAGAUCGAGCCAUCCGAGGCCUCAGAGUCCAUGGAGUUGGAGCCGGACAUGGACUUGACGCCCUGCAGCAGUCGCUUUAACGGAACUUCGGACUCGUCUCCGGCUGUAAGUUCCGGACUGUGUACGCUCGCGGACACCGAGCUAGAUCGGUUAUUGAUCUUCAAGUUUAGCGCCGCUGAUGUCUUCCAGCACUCGCCUUUGGGCGACGUGCUAAAAUCUUUUAAAAAUUUGUCCUUAGAGAAGGACUCACAGUUGAACUAUGUCCGGUUCAAGCUAGAAACGGACGAUGAGGGAUUUUGCUUCCCACCCGCCACCCACCUCAUAGCCACUGUCGAUGAUUUAACCGACAUGCUUGACUAUGGCUCCGAAGACAUCGAGGUAUGGACGACAAUACCGACAAGGAGCAAGGCCAAGACCCGCCAUUCACUGGACGCUGGAGGACCACCUCUUCAUACGACGUGUACAUGGUUGAUACACCUAAGGGAUCCGGCGACGACAAAGAAGAGCCGGAUACAAACAAAACCUCCGAGACACGGUCCAAGCACCGGCGGCCCAAACGCCGCCCUAAGCCCCGUCGCUCAAAGGACGACAACAUGGGCACCGGAGAAAAUAGUACUCUGGGCGACGCCGAUAACAACGAAGACCCUGUCGGGACGACAUCUGAACAGGAACACGAUAGCAGGCAAGACAACACUGACGAACAGGCCAAAGAAGAUGUCCCGGAGGAUGAUAGUUACCAUCCGCCCUCCGAGGAGGAUACAAGCCUCGACAACGAAGACUUCAUCAUGCCCGAGGAUCCUCUUGAGCAGGAGUGCUUUAAGCUUCAGCUCAUAGCCACUGCAAGGAGCCUGAAAAAUAAAUAACAGCAACUUCAAGCUGAACAAGACCAGCUCGUCGGCAGAUGGACUGACGUCCUGUCAGCCGAGGAAUAUGGCCGCAACCGCCUAGCCAAGAGCUACCCGAAACGUAGACUGCUACCUCAAUUCGAUGAGGAAGCACCGUAGCAUAUAUCUCCCUCGCGCAAUGCGGAUUGACCACCACGUGGUCGGGACAGGGCGGCGGAACGGCCACCCCGCGGUCGAGAUAAAGCGGCAACUCAGGCCAAAUAGCAGACCGCCCCACCACCCCAUCAAAAUAGGGACGGAAGAGUCCGGAGUCAUACGUACGACCUCUGACAGACCCUGGAUAGUAAAGAAGGACACACAAGAUCGAUCUACGGAUCAUGAGGACGUGCCUCGAGGCGCGAUGACGGCUACGUAUUCGGACGUGACAAAUCUAACCACGCUCGAGCCAAAUGCCGCAGACGGACUCCUUCAGAGCUCCGCCACGAUGCGGCCUGAUAUAGAGGCGCCGCACACCUGCUCUGCUUCAUAGAUGAAGUACCGGAUCAUGAAUUCCUCGAGGGGUUCAAGCCCGUCAAUAUUGAAUCAUACGAUGGCACAACCGAUCCUGCAGUAUGGAUUGAGGAUUUCAUCCUCCACAUCCACAUGGCCCGAGGAAACGACCUCCACGCCAUCAAAUACCUCCCAUUAAAGCUCAAAGGACCAGCUCGACACUGGUUAAAUAGCCUGCCUGAGAACUCCAUCGGCAGCUGGGAAGACUUGGAAGAGGCUUUCCUCGACAACUUCCAAGGAACUUAUGUCUGGCCACCAGACGGCGAUGACCUCAGCCACAUAGUUCAACAACCUGGAGAAUCAGCCAGAAAAUUCUGGACUAGGUUCCUAACCAAGAAGAACCAGAUCGUUGACUGUCCGGAUGCCGAAGCCCUAGCAGCCUUCAAACACAGCAUCCAUGACGAAUGGCUAGCACGCCACCUCGGACAAGAAUAACCAAAGUCAAUGGCAUCCCUUACGACACUCAUGAACCGCUUUUGCGCAUGCAAGGACAGCUCGCUGGCUCGUAGCAAAAACACAGCCAGCGAGGCAGGCCCCACGGAGGCCAAGAACAGCACCGAUAAGCUCCGGCGCAAUAGACACAAACGCCGAAGCAAUGGCGACAACACCGAGAACACCACAAUUAACGCCGGAUUCAGUGGUCCAAGUCCGGCCAACGGAAGAAGCCCUACAAAAGAAAUAACGAAGGACCUUCCAGCCUGGACUGCAUACUCGACUGUCCGUGCCAAAUUCACGGCACCCCAGAUAAGCAAGCCAAUCAUACCAACAGGGAUUGUUGGGUCUUCAAGCAGGCUGACAAGUUAAAUGCCAAAAACAAAGAAAAAGGAUCACAAAGCGAGGACGAUGAUGAAGAGCCCUGACAGCCGAACACCGAGGGACAAAAGAAAUCCCCCCUAGUCAAAACGGUGAAUAUGAUAUACGCCACACACAUCCCCAGAAAGGAGCGCAAACGAGCACUAAGGGACAUUUACGUGGUAGAGCCAGUCGCCCCCAAGUUCAAUCCAUGGUCGUCAUUUCCGAUCACCUUCGAUCGACGAGAUCAUCCGACUAGUAUCCGCCAUGGCGGUUCGGCCGCACUGGUCCUUGACCCAAUCAUCGGCGGAUUCCACCUCACACGAGUCCUGAUGGAUGGUGGAAGUAGCCUCAAUUUGCUGUAGCAGGAUACAGUACGGAAGAUGGGCAUUAAUCCCUCACGAAUCAAACCAACAAAGACUACCUUUAAAGGAGUCAUACCAGGUGUAGAGGCCCGUUGUACGGGCUCAAUCACCCUGGAGGUGGUCUUCGGUUCUCCAGACAACUUCCGAAGCGAAGAGUUAAUCUUCGAUAUUGUCCCCUUCCGCAGCGGCUACCACGCAUUGCUCGGACGAACCGCAUUUGCUAGAUUUAACGCAGUGCCACACUACGCUUAUCUCAAGCUCAAGAUGCCCAGUCCACGCGGCAUCAUAACAGUCAAUGGCAAUACGGAACGCUCCCUCCAAACAAAGGAGCAAACCACCGCUCUGGCAGCAGAAGUAGAGAGCGGCCUUCUCAAGCAGCAUUGUAAUCCAGCUGCCCAGCCCCUGGACACCAUCAAGAGGGUCCGAACUACACUGCAACAGGACAGCGCAGCUCGUCAAGAGCUCGACUAGCAAUUCGGCCUCCGUCCUAGCCCCAAUGAGGUAGUGGCAUUCAUACCACGCGUACACAAUUACGCACUCAAAAUUCCAUGGACAUGGACGGAGGCACGAGAUAACCCCGGGGCUACAAUUCGGCAAAACCAACCCCGGACACACAUACUUUACUUAUUUUUCUCAUUACAUGCACCUUUUUUCGUAGGCCUGAUAUCAAGUCCUCUAGAAGGACUGGAACGCAACGGAGGCAAGCAACACAUGUGUGUAGGGUAACCUUUAUACGUUCUUCUUGAUGGUAUUCACACUUCUUUCUCAGGACACGCACGCUGCGCCAUACCGGUUCCGGCACGUUAAAUGGUCGGAUACUUCUAGCACCAUCUGUACAAGAUACGCCUUGACGUAACCAUCCAGUUAUAAUAAAAAUGGUUCGUGGCCCAGUCUGUGUGUUUUUCACUUCUUACUUCGUUUUAUUUCGAUCUGCCUAUCUGCUGCAUCGACACUCUUUUACAGUUUCAUAUUCGCCAGGGGCUACCUAUCGCCCCACAAUACGGCUGCACAGUCUGAACACUUCUUAUAUAUGAGUUUGGCACCCCGAAUUUAGCAUUAUAUGCAUUGGCUCCGAAUCAUGUCUUUGGUCAAUAGUUGGGUUGCCCGGCUCCUGUGCUUGCUACGCUAUGUUCCGCUCCAUCGGCUAGGGUAGUAAAGGGAGAACUACUGCAAUUGUGCCCUGGCUUGGACCGCACGAGCACCUCAGUAGAGAAAGCCGAAAACUGACUGUCAUGAUACGAUGAGAGCCGGUCAGCUACUCGAGGGUUACAAAUCGUUGGAGAUUUUAUCCGCAUUAUGUGAGAGAUCGGUACUUCCCGAUCAGAUGAUGACAGCACCCUGGCUCGAACCAGGGGCUGCACACAUGCUUUAUUAUAAAACUCCUAUGGCUAAGUGAGGGCAUUUAAGCCGUAUAGUCCGAUUGCCUUGUUCGUUGCGCUAAACAAUUCCUUCAAGGACCAUGUAAUUGGAUGAAGAUUGUUUAGAUUCCAUCCCGAACACCUCCGUACUAUCUAUGUGAGGGCAGAGGCCGACGACUGGCCAACCCUCAGAUUACAUAUAACAUGGCCGCACAGGAGGAAACAAUCAAAGCAUAACAAAAUUGCAUUAACAAAACAUGCUUUGUUUCUCAUAAUACAAGGCAAAGGAAACAUGAAUACAUUAAUUCAAACACAAUGUCCUGUGAACAUUGUGCUACCGCAAGGCGAGACCCCUCCAGGACAUCCGCAAAAUACCGUUCCGGUGUACGGUGCUCCUUGCCCUCCGGGUGGCCCUCUGGUCACCUCGACAUCAUCCAUCUUCGUCCACCACAUCUUGCAACGGGCGAAGGCCAUGCGCGCACCUUCAAUACAGGCCAAGCGCUUCACAACGUCUAGCCGAGGACAUGCGUUCACCACCCGCCUCACGAGUCCGAAGUAGCUGCUUGGCAUAGCUUCGGCUGGCCAUAGCCGGAUUUGAAGGAAAUAUGCCCUAGAGGCAAUAAUAAAGUUAUUAUUUAUUUCCUUAUAUCAUGAUAAAUGUUUAUUAUUCAUGCUAUAAUUGUAUUAACCGGAAACAUAAUACAUGUGUGAAUACAUAGACAAACAGUAUGUCACUAGUAUGCCUCUACUUGACUAGCUCGUUGAAUCAAAGAUGGUUAAGUUUCCUAGCCAUAGACAUGAGUUGUCAUUUGAUUAAUGGGAUCACAUCAUUAGGAGAAUGAUGUGAUUGACUUGACCCAUUCCGUUAGCAUAGCACUUGAUUGUUUAGUUUGUUGCUAUUGCUUUCUUCAUGACUUAUACAUGUUCCUAUGACUAUGUGAUUAUGCAACCCCCGUUUACCAAGGAACACUUUGUGUGCUACCAAAUGUCACAACGUAACUGGGUGAUUAUAAAGGUGCUCUACAGGUGUCUCUGAAGGUACUUGUUGGGUUGGCGUAUUUCGAGAUUAGGAUUUGUCACUCCGAUUGUCGGAGAGGUAUCUAUGGGCCCUCUCGGUAAUGCACAUCACCUAAAGCUUUGCAAGCAUUGCAACUAAUGAGUUAGUUGCGAGAUGAUGUAUUACGGAACGAGUAAAGAGACUUGCCGGUAACGAGAUUGAACUAGGUAUUGAGAUACCGACGAUCGAAUCUCGGGCAAGUAACAUACCGAUGACAAAGGGAACAACGUAUGUUGUUAUGCAUUUUGACCGAUAAAGAUCUUCGUAGAAUAUGUGGGAGCCAAUAUGAGCACCCAGGUUCCGCUAUUGGUUAUUGACCGGAGACGUGUCUCGGUCAUGUCUACAUUGUUCUCGAACCCGUAGGGUCCGCACGCUUAAGGUUUCGAUGACAGUUAUAUUAUGAGUUUAUGAGUUUUGAUGUACCGAAGGAGUUUGGAGUCCCGGAUAAGAUCGGGGACAUGACGAGGAGUCUCGAAAUGGUCGAGACGUAAAGAUCGAUAUAUUGGACGACUAUAUUCGGACAUCGGAAAGGUUCCGAGUGAUUCGGGUAUUUUUCGGAGUACCGGAGAGUUACGGGAAUUCGCCGCGGAGUAUAUGUGCCUUAUUGGGCCAUACGGGAAUAGAGGAGAGAGGCCAAAAGGAAGGAGGCACGCGCCCCCCCUCUGAUCCGAAUUGGACAAGGGGUGCAGCCCCCUUUUCCUUGUUCCUCUCCCCCUCUUUCCUUCUCUCCUACUCCAACAAGAGAAGGAGGAGUCCUACUCCCGGUGGGAGUAGGACUCCCCCCUUGGCGCACCCUCCUCCUAGGCCGGCCGCCUCCCCCCUUGCUCCUUUAUAUACGGGGGCAGGGGGCACCCCAUAGACACAACAAUUGAUCAUUGAUCUCUUAGCUGUGUGCGGUGCCCCCCUCCACCAUAAUCCUCAAUAAUACUGUAGCGAUGCUUAGGCGAAGCUCUGCGACGGUAGAAUAUCAAGAUUGUCACCACGCCGCCCUGCCGACGGAACUUUUCCCCGACAUUCUGCUGGAUCGGAGUCCGGGGAUCGUCAUCGAGCUGAACGUGUGCUAGAACUCGGAGGUGCCGUAGUUUCGGUGCUUGAUCGGUCGGGCCGUGAAGACGUACGACUACAUCAACCGUGUUGUUACGUGUGCGUAGGAAUUUUUUUGAAAUUAGUACGUUCCUCAACAGUGGUAUCAGAGCCUAGGUUUUAUGCGUUGACGUAAUAUGCACGAGUAGAACACAAGUGAGUUGUGGGUGAUAUAAGUCAUACUGCUUACCAGCAUGUCAUACUUUGGUUCGGCGGUAUUGUUGGAUGAAGCGGCCCAGACCAACAUUACACGUACGCUUACGCGAGACUGGUUUUACCGCCAUGCUAUGCACACAGGUGACUAGCGGGUGUCAGUUUCUCCAACUUUAGUUGAACCGAGUGUGGCUACGCCCGGUCCUUGCGAAGGUUAAAACAGCACCAACUUGACAAACUAUCGUUGUGGUAUUGAUGCGUAGGUAAGAACGGUUCUUGCUCAGCCCGUAGCAGCCACGUAAAACUUGCAACAACAAAGUAGAGGACGUCUAACUUGUUUUUGCAGGGCAUGUUGUGAUGUGAUAUGGUCAAGACGUGAUGAGAUAUAAGUUGUUGUAUGAGAUGAUCAUGUUUUGUUGAAGUUAUCAGCAACAGGCAAAAGCCUUAUGGUUAUCUCUCUAUUGCAUAAGAUGCAAGCGCCAAAUAAUUGCUUUACUUUAUCGCUAUGCGAUAGCAAUAGUUGCAAGAGCAAUUGUUGGCGAGACAACCAUGUGACGACACAUUGAUAUAGAUCAAGAUGAUGGAGAUCAUUGUGUCAUGCCGGUGACGAUGGAGAUCAUGACGAUGCUUUGGAGAUGGAGAUCAAAGGCACAAGAUGAUGAUGGCCAUAUCAUGUCACAUAUUUUGAUUGCAUGUGAUGUUUAUCUUUUAUACAUCUUAUUUUGCUUAGUUCGACGGUAGCUUUAUAAGAUGAUCUCUCACUAAUUAUCAAGGUACAAGUGUUCGCCUUGAGUAUGCACCGUUGCGAAAGUUCUUCGUGAUGAGACACCACGUGAUGAUCGGGUGUGAUAGGCUCUACGUUCAAAUACAACAGGUGCAAAAACAGUUGCACACGCGGAAUACUCAGGUUAAACUUGACGAGCCUAGCAUAUAACAGAUAUGGCCUCGGAACACGGAGACCGAAAGGUCGAGCGUGAAUCAUAUAGUUGAUGUGAUCAACACAAUGAUGUUCACCAUUGAAACUACUCCAUCUCACGUGAUGAUUGGACAUGGUUUAGUUGAUAUGGAUCACGUGAUCACUUAGAAGAUUAGAGGGAUGUCUGUCUAAGUGGGAGUUCUUAAGUAAUAUGAUUAAUUGAACUUUAAUUUAUCAUGAACUUAGUCCUGGUAGUAUUAGAAUAUCUAUGUUGUAGAUCAAUAGCUCGCGAUGUUGCUCCCAGUUUAUUGUGUUCCUAGAGAAAAAUUAUGUUGAAAAAUGUUAGUAGCAAUGAUGCGGAUUGGAUCCGUGAUAUGAGGAUUAUCCUCAUUGCUGCACAAAAGAAUUAUGUCUUUGAUGCACCGCUAGGUGACAGACCUAUUGCAGGAGCAGAUGCAGACGUUAUGAACGUUUGGCUAGCUCAAUAUGAUGACUACUUGAUAGUUUAGUGCACCAUGCUUAACAGCUUAGAAUCGGGAUUUCAAAGAUGUUUUGAAAAUCAUGGACGAUAUGAGAUGUUCCAGGAGUUGAAGUUAAUAUUUCAAGCAAAUACCCAAGUUGAGAGAUAUGAAGUCUCCAACAAGUUCUAUAGCUAAAAGAUGGAGGAGAAUAGCUCAAGCAGUGAGCAUGUGCUCAGAUUGUCUGGGUACUAUAAUCACUUGAAUCGAGUGGGAGUUAAUCUUCCAGAUAAGAUAGUGAUUGACAGAAUUCUCUAGUCACAAUCACCAAGUUAGUAGAACUUCGUGAUGAACUAUAGUAUGCAAGGGAAUACGAAAACGAUUCCCGAGCUUUUCAUUAUGAUGAAAUCGAUGAAGGUAGAAGUCAAGAAAGAGCAUCAAGUGUUGAUGGUAGACAAGACCACUACUUCCAAGAAAAGGGCAAAGGGAAGAAGGGGAACUUCAAGAAGAACGGCAAGCAAGUUGCUGCUCAAGUGAAGAAGCCCAAGUCUGGUCCUAAGCCUGAGACUAAGUGCUUCUACUGCAAAGGGAUUGGUCACUGGAAGCGGAACUGCCCCAUGUUUUGGCGGAUAAGAAGGAUGGCAAAGUGAACAAAGGUAUAUUUGAUAUACAGAUUAUUGAUGUGUAUUUUACUAGUGUUCGUAGCAACCCCUCCGUAUUUGAUACUGGUUCAGUUGCUAAGAGUAGUAACUCGAAACGGGAGUUGCAGAAUGAACAGAGACUAGUUAAGGGUGAAGUGAUGAUGUGUGUUGGAAGUGGUUCCAAGAUUGAUAUGAUCAUCAUCGCACACUCCCUAUACUUUCGGGAUUAGUGUUGAACCUAAAUAAGUGUUAUUUAGUGUUUGCAUUGAGCAUGAAUAUGAUUUGAUCAUGUUUAUUGCAAUACAGUUAUUCAUUUAAGUAAGAGAAUAAAUUGUUGUUCUGUUUACAUAUAUGGUUACACACCCAAUGAAAAUGGUUCGUUGGAUCUCGAUCAUAGUGAUACACAUAUUCAUAAUAUUGAAACCAAAAGAUGCAAAGUUAAUAAUGAUAGUGCAACUUAUUUGUGGCACUGCCGUUUAGGUCAUAUUGGUGUAAAGCGCAUGAAGAAAAACCAUGCUGAUGGGCUUUUGGAAUCACUUGAUUAUGAAUCACUUGAUGCUUGCGAACCAUGCCCCAUGGGCAAGAUGACUAAGACUCUGUUCUCUGGAACAUUGGAGCGAGCAAUUGACUUAUUGGAAAUCAUACAUACUGAUGUAUGCGGUCCGAUGAGUGUUAAGGCUCACGGCAAGUAUCGUUAUUUUCUGACCUUCACAAAUGAUUUGAGCAGAUAUGGGUAUAUCUACUUAAUGAAACACAAGUCUAAAACAUUUGAAAAGUUCAAAGAAUUUCAGAGUGAAGUGGAGAAUCAUCGUAACAAAAAUAAAAGUUUCUACGACAUGAUCGCAGAAGAAAAAUAUUUGAGUUGCGAGUUUGGCCUUCAGUUAAAACAACGUGAAAUAGUUUCACUACUCACGCCACCUGGAACACCACAGUGUAAUGGUGUGUCCGAACGUCGUUACCGUGCUUUAUUAGAUAUGGUGCGAUCUAUGACGUCUCUUACUGAUUUACCGCUAUUGUUUUGGGGUUAUGCAUUAGAGACAGCUACAUUCACGUUAAAUAGGGCACCAUCUAAAUCCGUUGAGACGACACCGUAUGAACUAUGGUUUGGCAAAAAAACUAAGCUGUCGUUUCUUAAAGUUUGAGGUUGCAAUGCUUAUGUGAAAAAGUUUCAACCUGAUAAGCUCAAACCCAAAUCGGAUAAGUGCAUCUUCAUAGGAUACCCAAAAGAAAAUGUUGGGUACACCUUCUAUCACAGAUCCGAAGGCAAGAUAUUCGUUGUUGACAAUGGAUCCUUUCUAGAGAAGGAAUUUCUCUCGAAAGAAGUGAGUGGGAGGAAAGUAGAACUUGAUGAGGUAACUGUACCUGCUCCCUUAUUGGAAAGUAGUUCAUCACAGAAAUCUGUUCCUAUGACUACUACACCAAUUAGUGAGGAAGCUAAUGAUGAUGAUCAUGUAACUUCAGAUCAAGUUACUACCGAACCUCGUAUGUAAACCAGAGUGAAAUCCGCACCAGAGUGGUACGGUAAUCCUGUUCUAGAGGUCAUGUUACUUGACCAUGACGAGCCUACAAACUAUGAGGAAGCGAUGAUGAGCCCAGAUUCCGUGAAAUGGCUUGAGGCCAUGAAAUCUGAGAUGAGAUCCAUGUAUGAGAACAAAGUAUGGACUUUGAUUGACUUGCCCAUUGAUCGAUGAGCCAUUGAGAUUAAAUGGAUCUUCAAGAGGAAGACGGACGUUGAUAGUAGUGUUACUAUCUAGAAAUCUAGAAUUGUCGCGAAAAGGUUUUCGACAAGUUCUAGGUGUUGACUACAAUGAGAGUUUCUCACUCGUAUCUAUGCUUAAGUUUGUCUGAAUCAUGUUAUAAAUUGCUACAUUUUAUGAAAUCUGGUAAAUGGAUAAACAAAACUGCAUUCCUUAAUGGAUUUAUUAAGGAAGAGUUGUAUAUGAUGCAACCAGAAGGUUUUGUCAAUCCUAAAGGUACUAACAAAAUAUGCAAGCUCCAGCGAUCCAUCUAUGGACUUGUGCAAGCAUCUCGGAGUUGGAAUAUAUGCUUUGAUAAGUUGAUCAAAGCAUAUAGUUUUAUACAGACUUGUGGUGAAGCCUGUAUUUACAAGAAAGUGAGUGGGAGCACUACAUCAAUUCUGAUAAGUAUAUGUGAAUGACAUAUUGUUGAUCGGAGAUAAUGUAGAAUUAUUCUGCAAAGCAUAAAGGAAUGUUUGAAAGGAGUUUUUCAAAGAAAGACCUCGGUGAAGCUGCUUACAUAUUGAGCAUCAAGAUCUAUAGAGAUAGAUCAAUACGCUUGAUAAGUUUCUUCAAUGAGUACAUACCUUGACAAGAUUUUGAAGUAGUUCAAAAUGGAACAGUCAAAGAAGGAGUUCUUGCCUGUGUUACAAGGUGUGAAGUUGAGUAAGACUCAAAACCCGACCACGACAGAAGAUAGAGAGAAUGAAAGUCAUUCCCUAUGCCUCAGCCAUAGGUUCUAUAAAGUAUGUCAUGCUGUGUACCAGACCUAUUGUAUACCCUACCCUGAGUUUGGCAAAGGAGUACAAUAGUGAUCUAGGAGUAGAUCACUGGACAUUGGUCAAAAUUAUCCUUAGUGGAAUAAGGAUAUGUUUCUCGAUUAUGGAAGUGACAAAAGGUUUGUCGUAAAGGGUUAUGUCGAUGCAAAUUUUGACACUGAUCCAGAUGACUCUAAAUCUCAAUCUGGAUACAUAUUGAAAGUGGGAGCAAUUAGCUAGAGUAGCUCUGUGCAGAGCAUUGUUGACACAGAAAUUUGCAAAAUACUUACGGAUCUGAAUGUGGCAGACCCAUUGACUAAAAUUCUCUCACAAGCAAAACAUGAUCACACCUCAGUACUCUUUGGGUGUUAAUCACAUAGCGAUGUGAACUAGAUUAUUGACUCUAGUAAACCCUUUGGGUGUUGGUCACAUGUCAAUGUGAACUAUGAGUGUUAAUGACAUGGCGAUGUGAACUAUUGAUGUUAAAUCACAUGGCGAUGUGAACUAGAUUAUUGAUUCUAGUGCAAGUGGGAAACUGAAGGAAAUAUGCCCUAGAGGCAAUAAUAAAGUUACUAUUUAUUUCCUUAUAUCAUGAUAAAUGUUUAUUAUUCAUGCUAGAAUUGUAUUAACCAGAAACAUAAUACAUGUGUGAAUACAUAGACAAACAGUAUGUCACUAGUAUGCCUCUACUUGACUAGCUCGUUGAAUCAAAGAUGGUUAAGUUUCCUAGCCAUAGACAUGAGUUGUCAUUUGAUUAAUGGGAUCACAUCAUUAGGAGCAUGAUGUGAUUGACUUGACCCAUUCCGUUAGCAUAGCACUUGAUCGUUUAGUUUGUUGCUAUUGCUUUCUUCAUGACUUAUACAUGUUCCUAUGACUAUGAGAUUAUGCAACUCCCGUUUACCAGAGGAACACUUUGUGUGCUACCAAACAUCACAACGUAACUGGGUGAUUAUAAAGGUGCUCUACAGGUGUCUCUGAAGGUACUUGUUGGGUUGGCGUAUUUCGAGAUUAGGAUUUGUCACUCUGAUUGUCGGAGAGAUAUCUAUGGGCCCUCUCGGUAAUGCACAUCACCUAAAGCUUUGCAAGCAUGGCAACUAAUGAGUUAGUUGCGAGAUGAUGUAUUACGGAACGAGUAAAGAGACUUGCCGGUAACGAGAUUGAACUAGGUAUUGAGAUACCGACGAUCGAAUCUCGGGCAAGUAACAUACCGAUGACAAAGGGAACAACGUAUGUUGUUAUGCGGUUUGACCGAUAAAGAUCUUCAUAGAAUAUGUGGCAGCCAAUAUGAGAACCCAGGUUCCGCUAUUGGUUAUUGACCGGAGACGUGUCUCGGUCAUGUCUACAUUGUUCUCGAACCCGUAGGUUCCGCACGCUUAAGGUUUCGAUGACAGUUAUAUUAUGAGUUUAUGAGUUUUGAUGUACCUAAGGAGUUCGGAGUCCCGAAUGAAAUCGAGGAUAUGACGAGGAGUCUCGAAAUGGUCGAGACGUAAAGAUCGAUAUAUUGGACGACUAUAUUCGGACAUCGGAAAGGUUCCGAGUGAUUCGGGUAUUUUUCGGAGUACGGGAGAGUUACGGAAAUUCGCCGGGGAGUAUAUGGGCCUUAUUGGGCCAUAUGGGAAUAGAGGGGAGAGGCCAAAAGGAAGGAGGCGCGCGGCCCCCCUCUGGUCCGAAUUGGACAAGGGGUGCAGCCCCCUUUUUCUUGUUCCUCUCCCCCUCUUUCCUUCUCUCCUACUCCAACAAGGGAAGGAGGAGUCCUACUCCCGGUGGGAGUAGGACUCCCCCCUUGGCGCGCCCUCCUCCUAGGCCGACCGCCUCCCCCUUGCUCCUUUAUAUACGGGGGCAGGGGCACCCCAUAGACACAACAAUUGAUCAUUGAUCUCUUAGCCGUGUGCGGUGCCCCCCUCCACCAUAAUCCUUGAUAAUAUUGUAGCGGUGCUUAGGCGAAGCCCUGCGACGGUAGAACAUCAAGAUCAUCACCACGCCGUCGUGCUGACAGAACUCUUCCCCGACAUUCUACUGGAUCGGAGUCCGGGGAUCUUCAUCGAGCUGAACGUGUGCUAGAACUCGGAGAUGCCGUAGUUUCGGUGCUUGAUCGGUCGGGCCGUGAAGACGUACGACUACAUCAACCGCGUUGUUAUAAUGUUUUCACUUUUGGUCUACGAGGGUACGUAGACAACACUCUCCCUCUCGUUGCUAUGCAUCACCAUGAUCUUGCGUGUGCGUAGGAUUUUUUUGAAAUUACUACGUUCCCCAACAGGAUUAUCAAAUCCUUAAUGGCUAGUUCGGCCACCCUAUGCAACUCCACCAGCUGUUUCAGCUGAUCGGUGAAGGACACGGGAUGCUCCGGCGCCUCAUACUGCGACCAGAAUAGCCUAUCCGUGGAAUCCCCUCCUUCGGCUCGAUAGGACUCCACGGCAUCGGAUACACUGCAUGGCAAAUCCGCAAAGGCCCCUGGGGAACUCCGAACUCGAGUUAGUAAAAGGUACUGCUUCUCCGCAUACUUGCUUUGCAUCUUAAAUGCCUUACCCGCUGUGAUCUUCUUGGCCUCCUGGAUCUCCUGGAGGGCGGCCUGGGCCUCAUUCCGGGCAGUUUCUGUGCUUUGACGAGCCUUGGCGAGUUCGGUCCCUUGAACCGACGCAUCAUGCUCCAAGGUCUCACAUUUUUUCACCGCAUCCUGGGGCUCCUGGCGGACUUCUUUGACCCGGGCCUUGAGCUUCUUACGGGCGGCCUGCUGCUGGACAACCUUCUCCUUGGCCUCACCCAGGGCCUUCUUCAGGGCCCCGACCUUGGUCGCGGCUUCUGCACAUAUAACGAUACCGCUGUCACUACACAACGCUUAUCCUCUCCCGAACAUAUAGCAAGUCGUUCCUCACCUUGCUUCUUUUGGAGCCGAACCUUAAUCUCGUCGAGCUCAUUCUCGGACCGCUCCAGCUUCCGCUUCAGCUCGGAGACCUCGACAGUAUGCAAGGUCGCGGCCAACAGCGACGCCUGCUUAUUCAUACAUAUUUGGUUAAUCUCCUACAAUAAGAGGUUGAUCCUCUAUCCGGUUCUUCUUGCCGAACUCUGGACAGUGUCUCAGGGGCUCCUGAAUACAUGGGGUUUUCCUCUUUCUAUGUCACUUACCUCGAAACCCGUCAACAGAUUGCUGCAGGCUUCGUCUAGUCCACUCUUGGCGGACUAAACCUUCUCUAUCAUAGCACCCAUAAGGACACAGUGCUCGUCCACAACGGAGGCGCCUCAUAGCACCUCCAUCAGGUCAUCCAACGCCACUGGGUGGACAGGGUCCACUGGUGGAAUUAGCACACACCCCUCCUUUGAAGGAGGGCGCUCGCCUGAUUCCGGAGCCAUAUGGAUCUCCAGAAUCGUAUCCGGCUGAGGGCCAAACUCAAUACGGCCCUCUUCGCCGGUCUCCUUGGGGAUCUACUCCCCCAUCUGCCAGGCAGCGGAGGUCCCGCCUUGUGGCGCCCCCCGGACAAUGUCCUGAGCUCCUCCCUACGGAGCGGCCCUCCGGUAUAACACUUCGGUGUCGUCCCUGGCCCCGGGGGAGCAAGCAGGCGGUGGCGACAUGCUCGCCAUCUCCAACGGAGCCAGCGAACCUCUAGAUGAGGAAUGCUGGGUAAGGUCAUGGGCCGGAUUGCAAAGUUAUGGAUUAACCAUGUUAGCAUAACAAAAAGGGCUGGAUAUGCGCGUAAAUGAGCCAUGUCGCUUACGAUGCGGCCCGAGGCCUAGUACGGGGGCAUUGUUCCGGACUACUGUCAAUGUCCCAUGCGGUGUUGACCGCUGGGGCGUCCUUCCCCUAUUUGGGCGUUCUCGCCUCCAGAUGUGAUGGGGCCACCCUCUUCUUCUUCUUCUCCUCGGGAGGAGGGUUGUUUUCCUCCUCCUCCUCUUCCUCGUCAUUGUCCUCGGGGACGGAGGAAUGGGCCUCGUCGUCUUUGGACGUCGCGUCCGAAGUGCCCUUACGACGGGGGCCACUCUUGGCCCCCUUGGCCUUCUUCUUGGCCUUCUUCUCCGGCGCCGUAUAUGGCGCCGGCACCAGCAUCCUCGCCAAGCGCGGGAUGACUGGUUCCUCGGGCAGCGGCGCCGGACACUGGAUCCGCUGCGCUUUCUCCACCCAGUCCUGAAGGAGCAAUACUAAAUCUCAGACAUCAUCCUCGAAACAUUCAAGUUGGGAAUACGUCAAAAGAAACAUACCUCGUUGAUGGGGCAUUUACAAAUGUGACCACAGUCUGAGUCCGUGGCCGGUGGCUUCUCGUUGCCCUUAAAGAGCAACUUCCAGGCCCCUUCAUGAGAGGUGUCGAAGAGCCUUCACUACAAAAAAAUACACUUCCGUGAUGAUACGUGUUUGUCACAGUAGGUCGCGUUUUUUGUCAUGCAUGUACAUCCAUGACGAUUUUAUGAUAGAAUCAAGAUAGUCAUACCUGUGCUGUCGUAGAAGUGUUCCAUGACAUUACCAAAAUUAUCAUCACGGAAGUGUCCACUUCCAAGACGAUAAAUCGCGCGUCACAGAAGUGCUUUCGUCAAGGGUAACCGACACGUGACAUCCACCGUAACGGAACGCCGUUAAGCUAUCGGGUCGGGAUUUGGAUCCGCUAACCCGUUAACAGCCCCGACCAAUGGGAAAUUUUCACGUGUAAAAUUCUUAUUGGCCGGACGAAACACGUGUCAGCUCGUCAGUGGGUCAGAUAGGCGCCUAUGAUAUGUUGACACGUGCCACGGCGCACCACUGGCCCAUUUAGCUUACAAAGCCGGCCCGUUUGACUUGGUCAAAAGUUAAUGGGCUGGCCCAUGAAAAGCCUGUUAACGGUCUCUUCGCAAAUAGCCCAUUUUACGGCCCAUUAACUCACGACCCGUUAGGCCCUAAAGGAAAUCGGCCCAACAACGUCAUGUGAGCCGUCGAAUAUAACACCAGCCCAUUUCACUUUCGGCCCAUGUAUGGCCCAUGACGUCUUUCGGCCCAUAUGAGGCCUUCGUAUCUUUCGGCCCUUUACAGGCCCACGGUGACUCUAGCCCAUAAUGAACAGUAAUUUUCUUUAUACCCGUUAACGGCCCGUGAUUUACAUGGGCCAUUUCCAGCCCGUGUUACACUACAAAAAAAUACACUUCCGUGAUGAUACGUGUUUGUCAAAGUAGGUCACGUUUUCUGUCAUGCAUGUACAUCCAUGACGAUUUUAUGACAGAAUCAAGAUAGUCAUACCUAUGUUGUCGUAGAAGUGUUCCAUGACAUUACCAAAAUUAUCAUCACGGAAGUGUCCACUUCCAUGAUGAUAAAUUGCGUGUCACAGAAGUGCUUUCGUCAAGGGUGACUGACACGUGGCAUCCACCGUAACGGAACACCGUUAAGCUAUCGGGUCGGGUUUUGGAUCCGAUAACCCGUUAAUAGCCCCGACCAAUGGGGUUUUUCCACGUGUAAAAUCAUCAUUGACUGAAGGAGACACGUGUCAGUUCCGCGUUGGCACAAGUGUCACUCAUCCAAUGGGCGAGACGCGCCUAUGAUAUGUUGACACGUGGACCGCCCCAUCAAGUUUAAAUGAGCCGGCCCAACUGAAGGCCCACAAGAUUUUGCGGACCAUAAUGGGCCAGCCCAGCUAAAGGCCCACGAGAUUUUUCGGACCAUAAUGGGCUGGCCGAGUUAAAGGCCCACAAGAUUUUGCAGGCCAUAAUGGGCUGGCCCAGGUAAAGGCCCACAAGAUUUUUGUGUGCCAUAAUGGGCCGGCCCAGGUAAAGGCCCACAAGAUUCUUGCGGAUAAUAAUGGGCCGGCCCAGCUAAAGGCCCACGAGAUUUCGCCGACAUUAAUGGGCCGGCCCAGCUGUAGGCCCACAAGAUUUUGAGGACCCUAGUAGGCCGGCCUAUUAACUGGUUGCCAUGUUUUGGGCCAAAUGUCAGCCCAUAUUUGAUCCGGUCCAUUAAUGGUCUGCCACGCUCCGGGCCUAAUAGUGGCCCAUAUGAGAUCCGGCCCGUUAAAAGCCUAACACGUUCUGAGCCAAAUUACGGCCGAGAUCAGGUCCGGCCCUUUAAGAGGCUUUGGGCUCAAUUAUGGCCCAUAUCAGAUUUGGCCCGUCAACUGGACACUAUGCUUUUGGGCCCACUUGCUAAAGGCCACUUAGUAAUUCGACCUGAUAUUAGUUUUGACCUGUUAAGGGCCCGUUUAACAUUUCGGACCUAUAUUAAUUUCGGCCUGUUAAAAGCCCGUAAUAUAGUUGGGCCUAACUACGGCCCGUUUUGCAUCCGGCCUGCUCGCAACCGAUAUCUGAUUGGGCCAAACAAGGACCGAGACAAUUUUGGCCUGCUAAAAGCCCGUGAUUUGAUUCGCACAAUCAUGGGCAGGGGUUCAUUUGGCCGAUUUACUGCGAAGACAUGAUAUAUAUACAAUAAAAUAACUACAGCAUCGUGAAUAAGAAAAAACCUAGACUAUACAAUAAAGAAAUUACGACAUAUUACAUGCAGGGCAUCAAAGUUCGCCACUAUGAUAAUAAAGCACAAGCGGACAGUAGAUUACAUACACUGGGCAUCAAAGAUCGCCACCAGUGCAAAUAAACACGCCGACAAAAUAAUAUACAAAACCGACAACACUUCAAUAGAGUUCAAGAAAGGUUAGCCCUGCUGGGGAGCUGCAGCGCAAGCAGCUAAGCAAGAUGAUGAGACUGCGCUUGUUCAACACUUAUAUCUUCCUCACUCUGAAAGAUAAACAAGUAGACAGAUGACAGGUUUUGCACACAAAAGUAUCUGUGCUGACAAUUCAUCACAUUUCUUAUUGACGAAUAAAGUGACAUAGUUUAAAAUUGCAUUAACACAAUAUGGUAUUGUUCAGGUCAAGACAUGGCAGGAAAUGACAUUGUGAAGGAGUUGGCAGCUUCACGACACCACUGGAUUACAGAUCAAGAACUCAUAAGUAUCAAUGGUUAGUGUGCUGUCAAUUUAUACCAUUUCAGAUUGGCAAAUAAAGAGACGGUUUAAAUAAUUGUAGAAUGAUAUGACAUUGUUCAUAGUUAAGACAUUGCAGAAUAUGACAUUGUGCUGUAGUGGGUAGGUUCACCACACCACUGGAUUACAGACGAAGAACAGAAGCAUACAUGCAGUGCAAAAGAAGAUCACUUGCUCUGUAUAGUUUAUAUGGUAUGAAGAAGGAACUUGGUUGUACAACUGAAAACUUAAAUUGAGAAAGGACAAACUUUUGUUUAUGAACUACAUAAUAAACUUUAAAAAAGCAAUUUGAUGCAAACACCAAAAAUAAACAGCUGUUGCAGUCAUGCCUAACCAAAUAUAUACAACAAAGUUUGAAGGCUUGAGAUGGAAAAACUUACAUUAUUGGUGAAGACAGGCUCUAUAAAGGCCUUGUCCAUGCUGAUGGGGGGGGGGCAAUUCAAGAAGUUCACCACAGAAUCUUCUUCAAAAGCAUUGCCUUUAUUCUACAUUUUGUUCAGAGUAAAUAUAGAUGUGAUAAUAUACGAAAAAAUGGAGAAUAUUUAAGAUAAGAUGAAGAGUGAUGCUACAUAACCAAGUAGCUAUAAAUGUAAGUGCAGCGAUACAGGCAAAAGGUACAGCCAAGAGCAAUGCACAGCUAAACUUCUUCAGUACCAACCUUAUGGUAAGAGUAAAUAUAGAUCUGAUGUGUAGGAAAUGGAGGGCAAAGGAAAAUAAGCUGCAGAGUGAUGGUACAUGAACAACUACCUGUCAUUAUAAGUACACUGAUAAAGGACAACAUGUACUUACAAGAACAAUGAAGAGCUAAAAAACAUUGGCAUUGGAUAUAUUCUACACUAAUGUAACCAUUCAUACAGAUCAGAUAAUUUGGAGCGAACAAUUGAUAAGCAAGCUAUCAUGCAUACUGCUGUCACAUAAUGAACCAGAUAUGUAUGCAAGUACAGUGAUACAGGACAACAGGUACUAACAAGAGCAAAACAACGGGCAACAUAUUUGCGAUAUCCUGUCGUUCUUGUCAAACCGGAAUUCUUCUUCGAGUAGAUUUCCUGCAAAAAAGAUCCGUAAGGCACAUGCGGAAAAGUAGAAGUUCAAAUUGUCAUGUGAUUUCAUAGACAGUACCUCAUCCUGGGAAUGAGACCAGUGCAUAACAAGGUUUUUCCAUUCAAUGUCUUCUAAAUUUAGCACAUGAGACUUCACCGGAAAUUCGUUUAUAGACUUGCCAUCAAAGUGUGAUUUCCUCAGGUAACACCGAUACUGUUGCAAUGCUUCCUUGAAAAGCACAAGCAAGCUUUGCUCGUCAUGACUAUCCAAAUUGACCCUCGCCUAGUUACAACAAUGUAAUGUAAAUCAUUGAUGUGUUCAAUCAGCAGAAAACAGGAAAAUAAUAACCAUGAAUAAUAGCACUUACACGUAAGUUGGACAGGAAGAUGUGAAAAUGGUGUUUGUCUUCACAAUAAUCUUCCCAUGAUGGGAAUAUAUGCACGUAGUCCCUAACAACAUUGAAAGCAUUGUCUUUUAAACUGGGAAUAAAUGGAAUGGGGUUCCAAUCUGCAGGAAUUGGCCGUCUCUGCAUUUGGGAUAGGUCUUCGGUUGGUGGACUUGCUGUACUUUUUGCUGGAGUGGGAUUUUCUGUGGUACAGCUGGUGCUAUGGCAAAUGAAAUUGGUAUACCUUUUGCUGGAGUGCAGGUCCUGUGUGGUGGGGCUAGUGGUGUGGCCAGUGAAGUAUGGGUACAGUCUGCUAGAGUCGGUCCUACGUUUUCUGUCACUGGUUGUACAGCCAAUAUAAGUGGGGUGUUGUCUGAUUUCUCCGGCACCACCACGUUUUUCAAGGACUUUGCUGGUGCUCCUUCAGGUUCGGCAGUCACCCUCUUCCUUUUUGAUGUAUGAUGCACAAGAACAACAUUUGAGUGGAAAAACAUGGUAUGAUGACAGAUGGAAUAUGUAUUGAUAAUGGAUGGGCAUGCCAUCUCGACAUAUAUGAUGAGUAAACUAAGCAGAUGGCGGUGCAACAAAGUAGAAGAAAUGCAAGACAACAUAUGCAAGAUACCCGCAAUCAAUAAAACAUUGCCAAAUUAGAACAGGCACCUUGAUGGGUGAACAGGACAGGCCAUCUGCCUUUGACUCCUCGAGGUUAGAAUAGCCAUUAGGAUCAUAUUCUAAACAAGAAUCAACAAGUGGGGAGCGUAUGAGUUUCAUUGCAUCCAAAAUGGCACUCAAUGCCUUGGUACCAAUUUUGUAAGUCAUUGUAGUGUUUAGCUUCAAGAGUGGACUGCUGCUAGUGCGACACAAAGCAGCUACACAGAUCAUAAUGUAGAUAUAACGGGAAAACCUUAAGCAUCAGAGUAAAAUCAGCAAAGUGGAACUUGCUGGAAUAUAUGUGCUAGUAUUGCCGGUACGGCUAGAAAGGCUUCGGAUACCAACUCUCUUCAAGUGAAGGUGCGGUACUUUUAAUAUCAGUGUAACUCUCAAAGGCGACACAGGUCCCCGCAUUUCCUUGCUAUUCUUAUAGGAUUCAAGUGGGAAGGCCACUACAAAUCCUAUUCCUAUGUUUACAAGAUCCUACUAAUCAAAGAGGCUCAAAGUGUCCAUCACAACCGACCGUAUAGACCUCUACACUGCAAAUGUCCCUACUCAUCUUCAGUACUAGGAACAUAUUGUACUACUAUCAUACUCCCUCCGUUCCAAAAUAUAAGUCUUGGUAGAGAUUUCCACUAUGGAUCACAUACAGAUGUAUCCAGAUAUAUUUUAGAGUGUAGAUUCACUCACUUUGCUCCAUAUGUAGUCCAUGGUGGAAUCUAUACAAAGACUUGUAUUUAGGAACGGAGAGAGUACAUAUUAAAGAAGAACGGAAGAGGAACAUGGUAAAGAAGAGCAAGCAGAUUUUGGAUAAUAAAAUGUUGGUUGCGCAGUGCCCACACAUGAUGAACCAGAGCGCAUUAAGAAUGCAACUCCCAGCUGUCUCUCGACCAUUUUAGGCGGUUGGAUGAAGAUCCUACGUCUCCUAACCCUUCUUCUUCCUCGUCUCUGAUUCUUCCCAUACAGAAUACCGCACGGGCCGCCAGCCGGACCACCGGCCCCCACCGCCUGUGUUCCUCCGCCCCAACCCCCACCCGCGUCGAGUUUUCUUCGUUCGUCGAGGCCCCACAAGCACCCGAGCCCCUUCGAUCGCACCGGCGAACUCCGGCGAGCUCUGAAAAAUUGACUGACCCAAUUUUGAAAUUUAGUCUACUGUGAUUUAACUAGUGUGGAAUAUAAAAGGGGAAAACCACAAGCAUUGAGAGUAUAGUGUUGAGCGUGCCAUGGCGGAUCUGAAGGUGCAAACCGGACAAAGGCAACUUCGCAACCAAGACAAGAAAUCAGAGUAAAGCAGUGGCGAUCUAUUUUCUUGCUGUGAUAAAUAAGUUGAGCAGAUACAAAAGAGUACCGCCUCUGGUGCGGCGCCGUGUACGCAUCUGCUGAGAAUUUGACGGUGCUGCGGUAGCGAUGGCUGUCGGUGGCGUGGAAGCAGAUCUAGGAGGGUAGACGGUGGCGGCGGGGCGCGGUGGAGGAUACGGUCGUAGGAGCGGCGCUGGCAAGGUGACGACGGCGGGUAUGAAGCGAGAGGACGGUAUGCAAGGAUCCCGGUCCGAAGCCGUGGAUGAGAGAGGUCGAUCUCUUAUAAUGGACAGCGGCGUCGGGGUAUCAGCUCCGGCAUGGUGGAGGAGGACGACGGUGGAUGGGGUGGCGGACGGAGGAGGGUGGGGUGGAGAGGGUGUUUUGGCGCCCACGGAGUACGAAUGGGGAAAAGGGAGGUAGAGAGGAAGGGGGAACCAUGUAUUCAGGACACGUUUGUCUCAAAUGCGAGGAAACUUACAAACUUAGCCCCCGUUUCAAAUUUCUACUACAUCACUGCAACAUUAGUCGGUUGGGGAUAGGACGGUAAUCUCACAUACACCGAAUAUUUGCCGACGAGAGUUUGUUUUUGGCGCCCAACAUGUAUGAAUAUGAAUGGGGGAGGGAGUCGAUUUCGGCCGAGGACACACUGUGUUUUGGCCCCCACCAUGUAUGAAUCCGGGUGAGAGGCGGUUACGUCAUGUUUGGGUGAAUUACAAACCUACCCCUAUCGAAACCUAUAGAAAUCCAGCAGAUAGGCUUUGCGUGCCAGGGAUAGGCAGUAGUGAUUUUCAUCUCGCAGAUUUUAGUUUCGGGCAGUUACUGCGACUUUCCCCGCUUCGUUCAAAGUUUUCAGAGUGCACGCUUACCGUGCCAACUCAAUUCGAAUCCCGUUUGUAUUCUAUUUUUUUCCGGAAAGGAACCAUUUUCAAUUGGAAUUACAUUCUAUAUACAUCAUUUUUAUAUAUACUUUCAAAAGCACAACAAAGAAUUCUGCUCCUUUAUAUGUAUAAUAUGAUUUAUAAAUACAAUGAUCUCGAAAUCUUAAGGUUGAAUUCGAAUUUUUUUAACCAAAUUAUGUUCUACUAAAAUGUAUGGAUCAGUAAUAUCUACAUAUUAAAUAACAUAGAUGUGCGUGAAUUCAUAUGAGUAUGCAUGUUUGAUAGAUCAAUUUUGGUUCGAGUAUGGAUUACAUGUAUCAUCAUCUCGAAUUCAAAUAUUUGAAUCCCUUUUUUGUUCACUCCUUUCACGCCCAUCUCUCUCGCAUGCAUGCUUCUUCAGGUAGCUAUCACUCUCUUUUCUCCAGCUCACCCGCACGCUCACUUCAUGUUUCUCCUAUCCUCGCAAACAUGGUCUCUCGACGUCUCCCUUGAGAAGUGUCACACUCUCCCUAUCAUUAUACAUUACACGGUUUUCAUUAUAUCUCACGUCUCUACUGUUCUCCGGUAUCACUCGGUACCUAAGCUUUCUUUUUCACCGCCACACACACAGUCUCCACUCGUCUUUCACUUUGUCUUUCUCUCUAUGGGAUUCUCUCACACACCCUAUAUGUCUCUACAUAUGACUCAUACCACUAAAAUUACUCUCUCUCUCUCUCCUGUAGACACAACAUUUGUUGUGGUCUCCUUUUCAUCUCCAUCCCGGACUGACAUUAUUCAUUUGUUUACCGAUCAGACAACCCCGACUACCGUCUCUGCUCUCUCUCUCUCUCUCUCACACACACAACUCCUGCUUCCACUCCCCUUCCCGACUACCGUCUCUCUCUCUCUCACACACAAAACUCUCGCUUUCGCACCCCGACUCGUAUUUCUCUCACAAACAUUUAUCGACUAGCUAGCCUCUAGAUAGGUUUAUACACCCGCACACUCGUGCUUCCACCAUCGCAUACAUCUCUCUCUCCCGCUCCUUGCAUCUAUGUAGAUUUUUCUUCCCUUCUUGAGACACGCCCUCUCGAUCGUGCACACACACACUAUCGCCUCAUUUUAAGCUGAUACCUAUCGCACACACACUCCUUGUGUCUUUGUCACACAUGCACUCCGUCCUCCUCCACUCUCCCUCUCUCUCACACACACAUGGGCUUUUUGCAACAACUAGCAAGAUGCCCAUGCAUUGCACAGAACAUCAAGAUGCAUUUGUAUGAGUAGUUUAUCUUAUGGGGGAAAAGGAUGAACGAGGGAAGGCCUUAUUUGCAAAUGUGGAGAGGGGUGUGGGUAUCUUUUUGCAAAAUUGCCAUGGUUUCCUUCCUAUCCGUCAGAUAUAGAUCGAACGGCCUAUAUUGCAGGAUGGCAGGCACACGAUCAUCACCGACAAUGCUUUUUAUAAGAGUAGGGAUAAAAAAUAGAGUUGGUGAUGAUGGUGGGCCUGCCAUCCUGCAAUGUAGGUCGUCCGAUUUAUAUCUGACGGAUAGGAAGGAAAAUAUGGCAAUUUACCCGCACUCUUCACCAUAUUUGCAGAUAAGGCCUUCCCUCGUUCAUCCUUUUCUCCCACAAGAUCUUGAUGUUCCGUGCAAUGCACGGGCAUCUUGCUAGUAAGAGUAGAAAUUAGACAUAUACCACUUCUCGAAUCUUGAAACCAACAACAUUCCUCCCUUAUCUCACCAAAACCGCCAAAGGAAUAUAUUUUGAGUGAAACAUAACAUAUUUUUAGUGAUAUACGUAUUUCAAAACUAGACUUUUUUUCUAUCAAAUCCGUGAAUAUGUAUUAAUCUACUUUGAUCGUGUGGCAACGCAUUAGCACAUUGCUAGCAGUUAUUAUAAUUUUUUGGACACCAGACAAACGGUGGAGUACAUAUACAAAGAGAAGAGGCGCACACACGCAGUCGGCCUCUCGCUGUCUCGCACACAUGAGUGUUACGUAAAGGCGACGUUAACAAAUAAACCCUAAAACCCUAGGUGCACGAUUGCUGCAUUCGCGGGUACCGGGUAUGUGGUAGAACACCUUUGUAGGAAUAGUCAGCUCGCGUGAUAAUUUGAUCCAUAGGAGUUAAUGGUCGGGACCACAGGUGAAUGACUUGGAGCGCGGUGGCUCGCCAGUUGCCACAGAUCGAGUAGCCUCGUUUAAAAUAUCGUUUUUAGCGGGGUUAAGAGUUCCUAUUUUCAAUGGCGCGUUAUAAGUAGUAAGUAGUUUUUAGAACGAUUGGUAUGGAGCGAAAAUGGAAUUCAUAGUACUACGUACCUCCUUGGCGUAUGGUUGUAUGUUUUUUUUUGCGAUGGAGGUUGUAUGGGUUUAUGUUGCGAGAUGUUGAACCUGGUAGUUCUAGGGCAAAUACUAUGGUUUAGAUUUAGAUGCUGGUUUUCAGUCAUGAAAAUCGGAAGGGGAAACCCUUCUUUGAUUAAAAAAACUACUACCUCCAUUCUGGUUUACUAGUCCCCAUCGUACUUUGGGUCAAAGUUUGUCCACGAAUUUUACUUGUAAAAUGUGAAUGGAAAACGAGAUUUUGUUAUACCCAAAAAAAGGACUGGAGGGAGUGAUUGCUCUGACACGGACGCAACCUCUCAUAGCGCAGGCAUUGAACUGGCGCGCCGGCCAAGAGGGCCACACUGAGCAUGCCUCCUCACCGCGUGCAACCAGCUUAAGACUGCCCCACCCGCCUUCAUUGAAUCCACGCGUGUGCCGGCAACACGUCCUUCCGCGAGCCGGCAGGCAUUUUAGAACACAAAAAAUGACUAAAAUAUAAUUAAUUUACGCAUGGUCUUGACUUGUUGUGCUCGCACUGGUAGCAGGAACUAGUAGAGGAUUUUCUUUAUUUAUAACUCUCCUCACAUUUUUUUGGCUUUGAAGUGAAUCAUGGUUGUGGACAUUAUGUAUGAAUGUGUAGAUAUCUGUGAACAUGAGUUUGACGUGGAAGUUGAACUUGGAAUGUCGGGCUUGCGCAUGAACUAUACCAUGUCCAAUGCUUCGUCUGUUAUUGUUUGGAAAGUAAUUGUUGUUAUUACAUGACCCAAAACAACAUUUUGUGCCACAUCAGUAGAUGCACGGACAUCACAACAGGCAUGCUGACUGGAUAAACAUUUGAACCUAGCUAUUAUGAAGGAAAUUUUGUAUUGACAACAGUUUUAGAUAGCAGGAGACGCCUAGCCUGCUCUGCCUCUGCCAGCUUAUUUCUGGCUUCUUCCAUCUCUUCUUUGGCUUGGGUGAAGAGAGCAUCUGAUUGCUCUUUUCGCUUCUUCAGGAACUCAUCUACAUUCUCAAGGGCUGCUGCACACUUUCUUUCAGCCUUUACUAAUGCCACGAGGACAUGAACAACUGACGACUCCACCUGGCUUGUGUGUAAUCCAUCAUCAUCUGGGAAUUUGCACCUUGUGUCUAAUCUAGCAUCAUUAGGGAACUGGCACCUUGUGUGUAAUCCAGCCUCAUUUUGGAAACAUGAUCUCGAGGUUGACCAUACUUCCCUCCUCGCAGGAACUGCAUCCUGACAUGAAGUUACUUCUUGUUUAGAUCAAUACUCAGAGCAACCUAGAUCCAUUUAGUAGAAGCCAGAUAAACAGAACUCAGAGAAGUGAAUUCAAAAGGAAAAUAAAAAUAAAAACAGACUACAAGGUGAGAACACCCACUUCCUACAUCAAGCUAAAAAUGAAAGCAUUAGGAUGAUUAAGACUCUUCUUAUUACACAUUGAAGAACACCACACUUAAGAGAAAUAGAAACUACAACAUAUACACAUCGAAGAACAUGAGGCUACACGAAAGUAAUUGAAAGGGUGUUACUUACCAAAGCUCGUUUUACAGGUUCGGUGCAGCUCCUCUUUAACUUGCCACGCUCCUUGAAGAUGUCCCAAAUAUCCCGUGUUUGGUCUUCAUUGCUCCUCUGCAUGUUCGCACUCGUGUUUUUAAAAUCUCAACAUGGCAAGAAAAAUAUACUACUAGUAAUACUCACGCAUCUUGUGGGCAACAUUAAAGCACUCGUCUGCCAUGUUAGAGCAUCUCCAACAGAAUCGCAACACGCGACGCUUUAAAAAAUCGUUCACAGUGCUGAGAUUGAGAAGUAGAACUAGAGAGUAGAGGAUAGUUCUCAACAUAGAUAGAUAAAAAAGAUAAUUCAACUACUCCUCGUCGUUCGACUCCUCCUCGGUGAUGUCCUCCUUCGACUCUGACUAUAGGCGUGAAUAUACCGAUCGUUGUCGGAUUCCCAGGGCAACCUUGCUCCUAGCCUCAUGUUGAAUUGAGCGUCCGCUUUUCGCCUACGCUUGUCCUCGCAAUAGGCGGCUCGCUCCGCCCUCCUCUUAUCCCUCUCCGCCCUCCUUUGCGCGUAGAACUUGCACUCGUUGAUGAUGUCCUACGGGAAGUGUUGGCGCCACAGCGCCAUGGCUUCCUCGUCCAUCUCGGCGAUGCCGAGAUGGUGCUCCCGCCUCCGGUUGUCACGACGGUCCUCGUUGGUGCUAAGCCGCGGCAAAGGCACGAGCUCCUGCACCCGCUCCCGUGUUGGCACGUUGGGGAUGUUCAAUGUUCUAUGAGGCCACCGGAGGCGCCACACCGCCGCGUCGUACGCGCGGGCGGCCUCGUUGGCAGCGUCAAAAUUGCCGAGGCCGAGGCACAUCCUGUGGAACCAGAUCUCGACGGAGAAGCCGCCGGAGGGGCGCGUGCGGACGCCGCGGUAUCCCCAAGUUUCCCGGCGACGCGGCGGCAUGGUGGUGCGAAGGCGAGGCAAAAAAUAGCGGGGAGAGAGCGAUGGUGAGGCACAGAGUGGGGAGAGAGUGGUGGCAAGGCACAGAGCGGUGGGAGGGCAUUGGAUUUUAUAAAGCGCGCCGGACGCCGCGCGCCAAAACUAGCGCACGCCCGGCCUCUUUUUCCCGUGCGCGCGCGAUCCUUUCCCGACGUCUCUGCUAUCUCUACUCUCUUCUCUACUGUUAUAUUUAUUUUAUAUUUUAUAUUUAUCUCUACUUCCUUUACUGUCUACUUUUUUUCUCUAUACUUUUUUUCUUGCAAUAUAGGCCGUCCGAUUUAUAUCUGACAGAUAGGAAGGAAACAAAUGGGAAUUUUGCAAAAAGAUACCCGUACCCCUCUCCAGAUUUGCAAAUAAGGCCUUCCCUCAUUCAUCCUUUUCUCCCACAAGAUAAACUACUCAUACAAAUGCAUCUUGAUGCGUGCAACGCAUGGGCAUCUUGCUAGUUCUGAAAACCUUUCCAUCAUUUGCCACACUACUGGUUGCAGAUGAAAAACCUACCCAAGCACAGCGUGAUACAGGAGCGACGCACAAUUACAAGCUGAUAUUCUGUUGGACAAUGGAGGCUAUAACCAAUUACUUUUACGGGAACAAUAGCACCCAAGAAAUUUGAAGGGUAGGUAUGAACAAAAUUGGAACUGCACAUGUACUGCUAAGUGAUUCAAUACACACAUUACCAAUCAAGGAGGAGAACGAUGGUCGCGGCGACCUCUGUGAGUCAUGGUCGGCAGCGGGAGUCAGUUCAUUGUCCAUGACGGUGGUACUUCUGUGCUUGGCGUCGGCUUCCGGGAAGCAGAUCCGAGACCGUGGAAGACGAUGCCGGGGAAGAGGCUCCGUGUACGACGACGACGGUGGACCGGCUCCAGUGCGGCGUACGAGGUCAUCGAUGAGGCAGAUGCGCGGCGGUGGACGAGUGCGCCGAUGUAAAGGGGAGGAGCACGAAGGCUACGGUGCCGUGGAGAAGUCUAUUUUGCGGUGGGGAUAGAAAAUGGGGAGUAUUCAGAUGUACUACUCUGGGUGUCGGGUGGGGUUGGCUGGGUAGGGUGAACCUGAAGUUACGAAAACAGCCCCCUACCAAGCGUCAUCCGUAGGCUUGUUCCGAAGGCUAUGAUGGUAACUUCCCACUGCUCGAAUCAGGGUCGCGCGAGAUUUUCCCGCCGACCUCAAAAUUUUGUGACACUGGACUCCCCGUGUGGCGUGUUGAGUGAUUCGGCUAAGCAACUAGCGAGUAGUAGUAGUAAACUCUGCAUAUUAGGUUUGACCGAAGUCAAACUUCCUAAAGUUUGACCAAGUUUAUAGAAAAAUAUAAACAUUUACCAUAGCAAAUAUGUAUGAUGUGAAAGUACAUUCAAUAAUGAAUCUAAUGGUAUUUAUUUGUUAAUGUAUAUGUUAAUAUUUUUUGUUAUAAGCUUUCUGAGAGUUUACAAAACUUGACUUUGACCAAUGCUAAUACGCGGACUUAAAUAAAAACGGAGGGAGUACACAUUUGUUUUCUUAGUUUGUAGUGAACUAAUCAUUUGUUGAAAUUGUGAAAUAAAUAUAUUAGGCUAUUGACUUCGAAUGUAAUGGUCUAUACAAUUCAAUAGUUACAAUCAUUGUCGAAUCCCAAGAUGUAUACAAGGUCUGUAGUACUUCACAACAUGCUCAAACUCACAUAAUCCCAGUCAAAUGAAAAUCUAAAUGCAUUUCAUAGUUAUUACUUUGUAGGAUGCAACAAAAAUAACCAUAACUCUACAUCGGCCAUUAUAGAAGCAACAUUUUGACCUAUCCCAAUGUGUGAAUGAAAUGUGCAGAGAGAGCUUUUAAAGAUGGAGCAGAUAGGGCGGUAAAGAUUGUAUGUAUGUGGACGAGAGAGUAGGAGACAAACCUAACGAUACAGAGAGAGAGAGAGAGACAGAGAGAGAAAGAGAGAGGAAGAAGUUAGGUUUGUGAGAAAGAUGGAUGCAUGUAAUAUACAUGAGAUGCGUGUGCAUCUGGAUUCUGUAUACAUGGAAGGAGAAGAGACAACAUGUUUGAUGAGAGAGCUAGAAAAACAUGGACGAGAGGGAAAGGAUCUCGUGGGUUGAGGGAUUGACAAUUUUUUGCGGGGGAGAGGGGGAUUGGUAAUUUUGUGCAAGAGAGAGAGAGAGAGAGAGGGUGGGGGAGGAGUCACUCAGCCGUCGUCACAUCACCCUGCUUCCAAAGGACCCCGCAUUCUGUAGCGCAGUGUGGUCAGCGUCUUCGAUCUGCUCGAUGCCCUCUUUGAAGAUUGAGGUGUUGUGCAUGUUGGGGUGCAAAGAAGCACAAGCGAGAGUGGUCGCCGUAUAACCUUGGAUGGGGAUGAAUUGUGUGCUCAGGGGAGUGUGUGUGUUGUGCUGCGUGUGUCUCUCUCUGUGUGUGUGUGUAUGUUAGAUAUUGAGAGAAAACAAACCUAAGUAGAGAAAUGGGUAUUAAUGAAGAGAUUGUGCGGGCCUUGAGGUGGGCAGGGGCCUGGUGAGGGUGUCAAAAUGUGCACGUUGAUGCAUGUGUUGCAUGCGACCGUGCGAGGGACGAACAAAUCGAGAGAGAUGGUUGUUAUGUUACGGAUGCACCUAUCUCUGUCUCUCUGUCUCUCCCUCUCUCCCUCUCUCUCUCUCUCUCACACACACACACAAGUAAACUAGAAGACCGGUCUCUCAUGUAUACACAACGUAUCGGCAUCUGUCUAUGUCUCACUCAUGCAUGAUCAUUUGCACAUUCACACCUCUCUAUGUCUGUAUCACACGCACACCGUCUCCACAUUGCCCUUCCACCACAACACACAUAUGGACACAUACACAUGUUCUCUCUCAGUCACACACAAAAAAUCAGUAUUAAAAAAACUAGGGCGCACCUAAAACGUCCAAAUCCAAAUAAACACGAACUGGAGCUAAAUUCAAAUAUAUGGAAAUAUUGCAGCGUCAAGAACUUUCACAGGAAAAAAGUUGAGUAAUAUUCGAGGAUUGUUUUCACACACACAAAAAGGUUCGGUGGAUGUCCUUCGAGUGCGACAUGGUGAUGCACCGUUUGAUCGACCGCGCGGCCGCGGUUCACGCGCUUGCACAGGAUUCCGUAUCGUGGCUGUGGUACUAACUAAUAAAAGCGCUGCCUAAGUCUAAUGUUUAUGUGUACUAGUACGGUUUUCUUUAAGUUUGACCAACCUUAUAUAUAAAACUAAAGUAAGCUCCCACACGCACACUCAUCAAUAUGCCGCCGCCACCGUUGCGCAUGCCGGCACCCGCCUGCUCCAGCCAACAAUUUCUCGCCCAUCACCUCCGUGUCGCUGCCAUCCCUGUGCCAUGAAGCCAAAGGCUCGCUCGCUCACGUCGUCUACAGUCCCUCCUCGCGAUGCCGCCGUGCUGCCAAGCACGCGAGCAGCUGGUGGAGCCGCGUCUAUGCAUGCAGCGUACGAAGAGGAGGACGAGCGCGUGCUCCAGCACGCCGACGAGGAGGAACUAGCGUGUCAUUGUCGUCUCCGCCCGCGCGGAGGAGGCGCACAUGGUGGCUGUCGCGGCGGAAGCCGGUCAUGCGUGCGUCGAGCCCGCAAACCGGGUGUGGACGUGGAAUCUACCUUCGAGACCUUGAAUGCCACGUGGAUCCUGCAAUCUGAAGGAGCAAUUUGGGUCAGUCGACUCAGGUGAGCCAUUUGAUGCAACAUGGAUGGCUAGAAGGGCUUCUUCCACCUCUUCUGCCGUCUUCUUCCUUCGCUCCGUUAAACUUCUUUCACAAAUCGACUGACCCAAAUUAUACUACUAGUACGAACGUAUUAAGUAUAGUAGGAACACGAAGAUACGAGCAUUAGUACCAACUGCAAGAAGAAUAGUAGUAAGACAUAGUACUAGUACUACAGUAUGUACUAAAGAGUUCAAAUAACGAGAAAGAACAUAAACAUAGUUCUGCUGGGGCCUCAGCACAACACACCCUUGAAAAUAAACUAAGCAACUAGUCCACUUGACACUACAGUAGAACCAGCAUGAGCGACGUCACUGCCACCUACUCGGAGUCCGAGUCCACGUCCUCGACUUCGUCCUCGUCCCUCUUCCUCUUCCUCUUCGUCGACGCGUCUUUGCUUGAACCGGACACUGGGCUUUGCUUCUUCAUCCAACCCUUGUAGAUAUUUAAACAAAGGUAGGCAUCCAUUGCUGCGUACAGGAUGUGAUCUUCAUCUAAUGUCUUCGACUCCCAUGCAUGAUGAAACUCGUGAUGAGGUUUCUUCAGUUUAGCGUACGAAGGAUCAAUCAUGGCUGCUGCCAGGGUCAGCAUUGAAGGUUGAGAGGAGGACACCAGGCUUGCCUUCUGGAGAUCGAAGGGCUGGCCUACAACGAGACCUAUCCGACACAGGACUUCUUUGUCUUUCUUAAAGUCUACAGUAACGAAUUUCACUAUUUUGUCCUUGAGGAAGUUCUUAAAAUCCUGGCACUCAACAUCAGCAUGGCAUAUGUGGUAGACCAAGCAAACGUUAUGUACGCAAACCUAGAUCACGGCGGGCUUCUUCCUCUCUUCAUCCUUUAGAUCCUUCUCUCGUCCCAGGACUGUGGUGUACUCAACAUCUAGCCCAGUGACCUACUCAUCCGUUGAACUGUUGAACAUGUGUAGGAAGCGAGCAAGCCAUGCUUUCACCGUUUCGGAUCCACAUGUGUAGAUGAUGAUGAACUGGUCGCCGGUGAUGGCUCUAACCUGGUACUCAGCGGCGACCAUGGAGAUUUGGGAGGCCAUGGAUUUUGGAGGAGGGUUAGGAGAAGUUGAACUGUUGUACCCCGCAAAAAAACUGGGAGCAAACUAAUGUGAAAGGACGGGAUGACUGGGAGCGAACUGUUGUAAGGUAGAAGACGGGGAUGAGUAGGGCGUGCGAACGGCGUGGGGUUGCUGGCUUGCCCGGUGGAUAAAUGGCUGCAAGCCCCCAAAGAGUUCUCGAGAACUAUGCGGGACCCACUAGAUGUCAUGUCUACUAGACCCAUCUCGGGCCUGACGGUAUAGCUUCUGCCUGUUUGCACGCCAUGACGGCGCGUGGAUGUAACUUCACUUAAUUCCGUCAAACAUCGCGCCUCCCACGACCUUCGCCUCCCUCGCGCAGUCGCGCCCUUUGAGACUUCGACCGACUAUAAAUGAGCAACUUUUUUGCCUUUUUUUAGACAAGCAAUUUUUUACCUACUCCGCAUGCAUGAUACUCCCUCUGGUCCUUUUUACUCCUGUCAACCGUUUGCAAAGUGGUUGAGCAAAUUUAUACUUUUUUUGAACACCACCUUAUAUUAAUUAACCAGCCACACCAAUACACUCAUUCGAUACAAUAUUCACCACAGAGGGCGGUACGUUAUUUACAAGAAUACCAUCUAAUCUAUUGUCAAAGAUAUACUUAGCGAUUAAGUGUGCCACCUUAUUGGCCGAACGGCUAAUCUUUGACAAUUGAAGAUUGUUGAUCAACUUCGAGAUGCUCAACGCUUUCAUCUUCAGGUCACGCAUAGCAGACCUGUUAUAGUCCCCCGAUGCAAGAGACGCUACCACAAAAGCGCAAUCAGUCUCUAAAAUUACAGGAUUAUGAAGAGAAAUACCUAUGUAGAGACCGGCAAUGCAAGCCCUAAGCUCCGCUUCCUCCACGCUUUGACAUGCAUCAAUGAAAUCCCAUGACCAAAUUUAUACUAAAAAUAUCAAUAUCUACAAUACUGAUUAUAAUGAGUAUAAGAACUACGUUUUAUAAUGAGUGUAAAAAUA
rnacentral:lncRNA from 1 species